CGCUCGUCGUCUAACCUGGCUUCCGGCAUGGCUUCCAAGCAGAUCGGAGUCUUGACCUGCUUCAUUGCCAUCACCGCUCUCGCCUUCCGUCCCUGCGCAUCCGCCGUGCCCAUGGACGGCGGCUGGUCGAACGGCGGCGCCACCUGGUACGGCCCCGCCAAGGGCGCUGGAUCCGACGGUACGUACGUGUGCAAUUACCAUGCAUGCGUCGCAUGCGCGGCCAUGAUGCAAGUGUGCAUUUAUUCUCAUUGCGAAUGAUAUGAUAGACUUCGAUAUAAUAUAUAUGUGCGUUCACGAUGCAUAUACGUAGGUGGUGCGUGUGGGUACCAGGGUGCCGUCGACCAACCUCCGUUCUCGUCAAUGAUCACCGCCGGCAGCCAAUCCAUCUUCCAGGACGGCAAGGGCUGCGGCACCUGCUACCAGGUACGUCAGUAUUGUUAUAUAUACGUUCAUGGAUCUGUUCAUGUAUGCAUGCACAUUGCAAGUCCACUGUAAGUACUAGCUAGCUAAAGAUUACUAAUUGUUGGAUUGCACACAUCUUGUAGGUGAAGUGCACCGGACACGAGUCGUGCUCCGGCAGCCCGGUGACAGUGGUUAUCACCGACCUGUGCCCCGACGCUACGUGCCAGGUGGAGCCCGUCCACUUCGACCUGAGCGGGACGGCGUUCGGUGCCAUGGCGAAGCCCGGCCAGGCCGACAUGCUCCGAAACGCCGGCCGCCUACAAGUCCAGUACACUCGGUAAUAUAUAUACCUCAUUAUAUAUUAGCUGCUUGCCGCCGGCCGGCCUUGCGCCGCCGUCGUCGUCGUCCCACUCCCAGCCGCUGACUAAUUAAACCUCGCGCCGCGCGCCGCUGGCUGGUGGCUGCGUGCACUACUGCAGGGUGGCGUGCAACUGGAACGGCUUGGACAUCGCCUUCAGGGUGGACGCCGGCUCAAACGCCAACUACCUGGCCAUGGCCAUCGAGUACGAGUCCGGGGACGGGGACCUGCGCGCCGUGGAGCUGAAGCAGAGCGGCGCGGCGGCGUGGGCGCCCAUGCAACGCUCCUGGGGCGCUGUGUGGCAGUACAAGUCCGGCUCCACCAAUCUGCAGGCCCCCCUGUCUGUCCGCCUCACCUCGGGCUCCGGCAGGGUUCUCGUCGCCAGCAACGUCAUCCCCGCCGGAUGGCAGCCCGGCAGAACCUACCGCUCCGUCGUCAACUUCGGAGGAAACCAUGCAUAACGAGUGGUAUUAAGAUGUCGAUCGUCUGCAGAUGUCUCCAUCCAACAAUAAGAUGCAUGCAUAUAUGAUCUGUGUGGCCAGCUAGCUGCUAGACCAUCUCACUCCCUGAGUCUGCUGAUGCUCAGCCAAUAAUGAAUCAUUCCAUCUCGAUCGGAAAUUCAACAUAUAUAAUAAUGCAAGCACCGGAAAUAAAAUUCUACUGUGUUCUGUGACGACGUACGUUGUUCGUGUUGUGCUACAAGAAUAUACGCAUGUCAGUGCUGUUUGCAUGCCGCCGCCGUCCUGCCGCGCCGGGGGGAUCGUUUUCUAUGUCAUUCCUAACCAAACAUGGGAGGGAAGAUUCGUUUAACACUCGUAUCAUUUCAAUGUCACUCCUAAUUAACCAAACCUAGAAUUUUGACGCUAGUUUUAUCUCCGUCCGAGAGAGUUUAAUGGGUACAAGGAUUCAUAUUGAAUAUAUUUGUAUAACCACCUCAAACUAAACUCUUGUCAACAACAAAGGUUUAAAUCAUUUUGAAUGCUACAAUUUUAGUAAGUUCUUCUCGAUCUGGUUUCAUAUAAAAAAUAUGAUUUUUUCAUGUAAACCAGAUAAUAUAUAGCAACCACUACCAUACUCCUGAAUUACCUUGAGUGCUAAAUUUUUUUGUUGAGGGCCACAACAAAAUCAUCAAGGGAAGUGUAGUUCUCUUGGAUGUGGACAUCGGAGCAAGGAAAUGGAUUUAUUUUUUAGUGCUAAACCAAACCGCUAAGGUAACUGCACAUUUCCUUCAGUGCGAUUAUAGUGCCAUUACAAAUCGCCAAGGUAAUUGCUUAUUUCCUUGGGUGCUAUUCAAAACCGCCAGGGUAAUUCAUAUUUUCUUGAUUGUUAUUCAAAACCCUUAAGAUAAUUUAUAUUUUUUGGGUGUCAAAUCUUAGAAGUAUUAAUAUAAGGCACUAGUUAAUUUUCAAUUUUAGAGAACAUUUUUUAGUUUGAUCAUGAGGAAGGCAUUCAAAUUGUGAUGAAUCCAUCUUACAAAAGGUUGUUGAAUAUGACCUCAUUUAAUUUCUAGCAAAUUACAUGGUGGUUUUGAUAGUUGUUAGUUAGUAUCACUACCGGAAUCAGCUUCUUUGCCGUGUGUUCUAAACACACGGCAAAGGCUAUUUUACACUCGGCAAAGCCUUUGCCGAGUGUAACACUCGGCAAAGAACGCUCGGCGAACUGUACAUCGGCAACAGCUUCUUUGCCGAGUACUUUUUGUCGGGCACUCGGCAAAGACUUUGCCGAGUGCCAUUUGGCACUCGGCAAAGAAAAGUCACCGUCACGGCGCCAAGUGACGGUGACGGAUCCUUUACCGAGUGCCAACGGCGACACUCGGCAAAGACUGGUCUAGUGGACCCCACAGCCAGUCUCUGUGCCGAGAGCCCUAGUAGGCACUCGGCAAAGGAGGUUUCUUUGCCGAGUGUCUAGUGGACUGGCACUCGGCAAAGAACCCUCCAGUGGGCCCCUUUGCCAGUCCCUUUGCCGAGUGCCUUGGCAACGGCACUCGGCAAAGACAUCUUUGCCGGUUCCCAGGUUUCCUUCUUUGCCGAGUGCCAUGGUCAGCACUCGGCAAAGAUGGCUUUACCGGUUCCCAGGUUUCCUUCUUUGCCGAGAGCCAUGGUCAUAGCACUCGGCAAAGCGACCUUUGCCGAGUGUUACACUCGGCAAAGUGACCAGGAUGUCCCUUUUUUAUUUGUUUUUGCUGUUCCAUCCAAACAAACAAAAGAUAUAUAUCAUUCACAUCACAUUAUAUAUCAUUCGCAUCACAGAAUCAACACAUUUAUCAUCAACACCAUAUAUAUCACAAAUAUCACCACAUAAAUCAGGUUUCACAGCACAUAAGUCUCAUUAAGUAUCUCACAAGACCAAGUAUAACUAACAUCACCAACACUCACAAAUAUAAGUUUGGAUCAUCACAAAACAGAUAUAAGUCUGGAUCAUCACUAACAUCACCAAGUAUCUCACAAGACCAAGUCUAGCCAAACAUCACCAACACUCACAAGACCAAGUCUGGAUCAUCAACGAGGUGGGCAUCUGGACUGGUUCGGCGAAGGGCUGGACGAAGCAUGAGGGUUGUUCGACGCCGCCGAUUGACGCUGCACAGAGAAUAGAUUGUAUGUGUGAGAACAUAUGAAUAUAUAUCAUGCAGUACUAAAAUUUUGAUACUCACAGGAGUAGUGAACUCAGCAGGGUCAGUUGCAGGGAACAACGGAGGUGGUGGAGCAUGACCCUGUGCGGCGCCAAGGCUCUGCACGUACGCGAACAAAUCCGACAUCCUCUUCUCCAGCUCCUCACGUUGCCUCCUCUCAUCAUCUAGCUGAGUCUGUAAUAUUUCGCCCUAAUGUUACGAUAAUGCAAAGAGAAGAUAUAUAAAAAUUAAUGAACGAUGAAUAGAUAAGGAAUAACCUGGAGUUGCUGGAUACGAUGCUGUGAGGUGUCCUGCCGAGGUCGUAUGGCUGGGCUCGCGCUCGUGCUCCUUGCUCGCACCUGAGAGAGAGUGGGAGUGGAGGACGAGUCGAUUGCCCCGUCGGCAAUCCAGUACCGCCCAUGCCUCUUGCCUCCUCCGACCCUCAUGAGGACAUCUCCGUCGAUGUCCUCGGUCCUCGGAUCGUAAUCUGGCCCAUGGACCUCCUUGGCCAUUGCGGUGUACUCACUGAGUCGGCUGUGGAUGGCGGGGUUGGUGUACGCCUCGGGCCCGUCAUCCGGGUUGUAGGUGACGUCGGACGUCGCCUUCCCCUUGUGGGCCAUGGCAUAUGCCGAGUGUGGACCUGUACCGAGUGUCCUACUCUCGGUAAAGAUGCUCGUUACCGAGAGCCAAGCUUUGCCGAGUGCGGCUCUCGGCAAAGCCGUCUUUGCCGAGUGCCCGAGAAAAGGCACUCGGCAAAGCGGCCGGCACUCGGCAAAGUCUCGGAUUCCGGUAGUGUAUGCUAUGCGUGCUUUAAGUAGAAUUUUUCAAUAGGGCUACUAAUUUUAAUUUUAAUGAACACACAUGCAAAUCACACCUAGCAAACCAUUGUUUUGAGCUACAAUAUUUAUUGUUCAUGAAAGCUCCGAUUUUGCUUUCAUAUAUAUAAUUUGUCUCCUCAUUUUUACGUGGCAUGAGGUACAAUAAUUGUUCUUCAUGAGGGCCUACCCAUUUUAAUUUUGAUGAGUGCAUACAUUUGAUACCUAUGAACCCAUUUAUUUAAGUUAAUAUAUUGUUGUUCAUGAAUGCCCUAUUUGUUUCUUAUAUAAUUAGCCUCCCUAUUUUUAUGUGGCAUGAAGUAAAAUAAUUGGUCUUCAAGAGGGGAGUACCAAUUCAAUUUUGAAGAACAAAAGCAUGUGACAUUUAGCAUCCCAUUGUUUUGAGCUAGAAUAUUUAUCUAUGAAGACUCUAAUUUUUACUUUUCAGUGUAGAGAUAGAUGGAUCAAGAGUGAAUUUACGAUCUGACAUCUCUGGACAUCAGGUACUUGAUGGGCAUGAGCACCUUCAUCAUGGCUAUUGGUAUUUACCUUGGAAUAUUUUAGGGUAUCGUUAUUUACUUUAUUCCUAGGUUAAAUGGUAGCUAGGAAUUCUGAGUGCUUCAGCCAAAGCCUAGAAAACACUCGAUGAACUCUUUAUUGAGUGUGAGUCUCACCAAAGGAGUCUCGACGAACUGUACAUCGGCAGCGGUUUCUUUGCCGAGUGCUUUAUGUCGGCACUCGACAAAGACUUUCACUACCGGAAUCCGGGUCUUUGUCGAGUGCUCGGCGCUUUGCUGAGUGCUUUUGUCGGGCACUCGAUGGAGCCUUUGUCGAGUGCCGCACUCGGCAAAGUCCUGCUCCCGGUAACGACAACGUUUGCUGAGAGCAGGACUCUCGGCACGGGAAUACACUCAGCAAAGAUUUCUUUGCCGAGUGCCAAACACUCGGCGAAGGGCGGCUCUCGGCAAAGGGCUGUCAGCCGCCGUCUAAAGCGACGGCCGUUACCUUUGCCGAGAGCCGAGUUCUGGCACUCGGCAAAGAAUCUUCUUUGCCGAGUGCCCCCCAUUUGACACUUGGCAGAGCAAGCUGUGCCGAGUGCCUUCCUUGGGCACUCGACAAAAUAUAUUUUUAUUUUUUUAUUUUGCCAACUAAACUUUUUGUAGUAUGUUCCUACACUAUGUAGACCUAUAUGUACCAUUUUGGGACAAUUAUAAAAGUGUUUUCUAUACCUAUUGGAUUUAGUUUGUUUGUUUGAAUUUCUUCGGAAAAUUCACAUUUGAACUACAAGUCCUCGAAACAUGGAAACCCGUGCAUGCAAAAAUGAUAUCCAUGCUAUUUAGCACUAGUUACGACCGAUUUCAGGAAUGGACCGGAAACUUCGAGCACCAUGUUCACUAAACAUGGCCGUGAACUUACCAUCCAGCUGUUUAAAAAUUGUAUAAAACACAAACAAAGUCAGAAAAUCAUAAAACUUGUCCACAUGUCAUGAUAUCAUAUAUAGAGGCUGUGAUAAAAAUUUGAGAAUGUUUUGAAAAACUUGUGAGGCACUAUGUGUAGAAAUCUAAGCGAUCUACACAUGAAAUCAUAGAGUUUCAAUGUGGUUCUCUUAGGUUUCUACACAUAGUGCUUCACAACUUUCUCGAAACAUUCUCAAAUUUUUAUCACAGCCUCUAUAUAUGAUACCAUGACAUGUGGACAAGUUUCAUUAUUUUUCGACUUUGUUUGUUAUACAAUUUUUAAAGAGCUGGAUGGCAAGUUAACGACCAUGUUUAAUGAGCAUGAUGCUCGAAGUUUUCGGUCUGCUCCUGAAAUCGGUCGUAACUUAUGUUAAAUAGCAUGUAUAUCAUUUUUGCAUGCACGGUUUUCUAAGUUUCGAGUGACUUGCAGUUCAAAUGUGAAUUUUCUGAAGAAAUUCAAAUAAGCGAACUAAAUCCAAUAGUUAUUGUAAACACUUUUACAAUUGUCCCAAAAUGGUACAUGUAGGUCUACAUAGUGUAGGAACAUACCACAAAAAGUUUGUAUGGCAAAAUAAAAAAAAUAAAAAAAUACUUUGCCGAGUGUGAGCCGUUGGGCACUCGGCAAAGCUUUGUUUGCCGAGUGUCAUACGAUGGACACUCGGCAAAGCUUUUUUUGCCGAGUGCCCGAGUGCCGGAUCCAGGGCACUCGACAAAGUAUAUUUUUUAAUUAAAAAACUUUGCCGAGUGCCAGAUCACGGGCACUCGGCAAAGUUUGUUUACAUAGGCAGAAAUAAUCUUCUUCUUCACGCACUUCUCCACGCCGCCGCCGCCGUCAUUGCUCCUCCCCGUGCUCUCAAACCCCGCCCGGCCAUCGCCACCGCGCCCCGCCGCGCCACCGCGCCCCACCAUGCCACCGCCCCCGACCUCGGUAGGUUUUAUUCUAUGAUUGAAGUAUUUACCCAUAAGUAUAGUAUAAGUUAUGUUCUCUAAAUUUGCUAUAGUGGUAAAAAUUCUUUGGAUUGGAACGAUUACCAUUACUAUGAAUAAAAUCAUAUGUUUAGUAAAAUAUAGUGGUAAUGAUGAUUGGAUGUCGAUUAGAUGUGAUUCGCGACCAUCGUGUCAUUUGUAUAUCUGUGUGUCGGCCAUUGUGCUGAUACUUGUAUUUGCAGGUUUUAGGAACCUCUCCAUGCAGGGGAGGUGCUGCCGAAAUUUUCUAUUGAUAGGCUUAUGUUAGAGGAUGGAGGACCAUGAGUAUAUGUACACGGGCCAUAGAGGAAGGAACGAUGUCACCCCUGAAUAGAUUAGAAAGACCGAUGGUUUUGUGGAACGGGCAUAUGGCGAAGCUGCUAAAGGAGCGAUUCUAGUCCCAUGCCCAUGCAGCAAAUGUGCCAACCGGAAAAGAAAAUCAAAUAAGGCCAUGGUAGAACAUAUUUGGAAGAAUGGAUUUACACCGGGCUAUACUUGGUUGAUCUUUCAUGGUGAAGCGCAUCGUACGAGAGAGGAGGUGCUGAGACAACGCGUCGAGGAUUAUGAUGCCGAUGCAGGGGUAGCAGAUAUGUUGAACAACUAUCACGAGGCACAGUACGCCGGAGGAUGUAUAGAUGACGAGCCAGAGCCGACUGCAAAGGCGUUCUACGACAUGUUUGACGCGGCACAGAAGCCCCUUCACGGCCAGACAAAGGUUUCUCAACUAGAUGCCAUUGGGCGUGUAAUGGUGUUCAAGUCGCAGUACAGCAUGAGUCGAGACGCAUUCGAUGGCUUGUUGAUGGUUAUUAGGAGCCUGCUUCUAAAGGAUCACGUUCUGCUAAAGAGCAUGUACGAGGCACAGAAACUCCUUCGUGCACUCAAGAUGACGUAUGAGCAGAUACAUUCUUGUCCGAAGGGCUGAGUGCUAUUUAGAAAGAAUACGCGAAGGCAAUGUAAUGUCCGAAGUGUAAAUCGUCUAGGUUCAUGGAGGUAGACUCUGGUGAUGGACAGAAGAGGCAGCUCGACAUCCCCUUGAUAAUCCUAUGACACCUUCUAUUCAUACCGAGGAUCCAGCUUCUAUGCAUGACCGAGGAAUCCGCGAAACAUAUGACAUGGCACAAAAAUGGAAAAUGAUACAAUCCUGACAAGAUGGUGCACGCAUCCGAUGGUGAAGCAUGGAAACACUUUGAUGCCAUUCACCGCGAGAAAGUCGAAGAGGCUCGUAAUGUACGUGUUGCGAUGGCCACAGAUGGGUUCAAUCCCUAUGGAAUGAGCGUUGCCCCGUACACAUGUUGGCCCGUGUUUGUUAUCCCAAUCAAUCUCCCCCCGAUGUGUGCUUUCAAAGGUAGAAUAUAUUCGUGUCGUUGAUAAUUCCCGGACACCCGGGGAGUAAAAUGGGUGUGUACAUGGAGCCUUUGAUCGAUGAAUUGGUACGUGCUUGGAAGGAAGGGGUAUGGACGUAUGACCGAGCUACGAAGACAAACUUCAGAAUGCUUGUUUGGUACCAGUACUCCAUGCAUGACUUACCAGCGUAUGGGCUAUUCUGCGCCUGGUGUGUUCACGGUAAGUUCACAUGCCCAGUUUGCAAGGAAGCUAUUUAGGGUCAAUUGGUUGAAGAAGGGUAGUAAAUAUUCAUUGUUCGAUAAACAUCAUAAAUUUCUCCCUCCUGACCAUGCAUUUCGACUAGACAUCAAGAACUUUAUGAAAGCUGUUGUAGUGAUAGACCGCCCACCUGCAAUGAUGACUAGUGCUGAAGUUUGUCAACAGAUAGAUGGUCUCGUGGCCAACCCAGAAGGUGGUUUUGUGGGACAUGGUGAGCAGCAUAUGUGGAUACAUAAGUCGGGCUUGACUUGGCUCCCCUAUUAUGAUGACCUGCUUCUUCCACACAACAUUGAUGUGACACACACUAAAAAGAAUGUUGCUGAGGCACUUUGGGCAACCGUUAUGGGCAUUCAUAAUAAGUCAAAGGAUAACGUAAAGGCAAGAUUGGAUCUGACAGCAUUAUGUGAUAGACCAAACCAAGAGAUGAAGCUGCCUAGUGGUGGAAAUACAUGGAGAAGGCCUAAGGCUGAUUUCAUCCUAAGAAGGGCCCAGAGAAAGGAAGUACUAGUGUGGAUCAAGAUGUUAAUGUUCCCUGAUGGGUAUGCCGCUAACCUGAGUAGGGGGUGAACUUAUCUGAUCUGUUAGUCUUAGGGAUGAAGAGUCAUGACUUCCACAUAUGAAUUGAACGAAUUCUUCUAGUGAUGGUUUGAGGCUAUGUCCGUAAGCAUGUCUGGCUAGCGCUUGCAGAGUUGAGAUAUUUCUUCCACCAACUUUGUGCAAAAGAGUUAUAUCGGACCAUGAUUGCAGACUUGGAAACAUUGGCACCCGUGUUACUAUGUAAGCUGGAGAAGAUCUUUCUACCCGGCUUGUUCAAUCCGAUGGAGAAUUUGAUUCUUCAUCUCCCGUAUGAGGCACGAAUGGGGAGCAUGCAUGGACGUUGGUGCUAUCCAAUCGAGAGAUGUUUAAAGACUAUACAAAAGAAACGUAGAAAUAAAUGCAAAAUCGAGGCUUCUAUUGCAGAGGCAUACAUUCUAGAGGAGGUGUCCAACUUCACAACAACUUACUAUGGUGACAAUCUGUCGAGCGUGCAUAAUCCACCCCCUCGUUACAAUGAUGGAGACAAUGAAUCGAACCUCAGCAUAUUUCCAGGCCAACUUGGAAGCGCAAGUGGCUCGACCACCAAGACCCUGACACAUGAAGAGUGGCAGCAUAUCAUACUAUAUGUAUGACCAACCUUGAAGAGGUGACACCAUACAUGGAACAAUUUCUUCAUGAAUUCUGGCUUCGAUCAAGGGACCCAACUCCACAGAAAUAUGAUACUCUUCUUAGAAAGGGUGCGACAAAUGGAUUGCCCGAUUUCAUUUCCUGGUUCAAACGUAAGGUACAUGCUUAGUUUGUGAGAGCACCUAGAGGGGGGGUGAAUAGGUGAUCCUAUAAAAUUCAACACUAAAAUCCAACAACCUUGAUUAUAAAGAUAUUAGUGCGGGUUAAGCAAGUCAAUGAGGCGAGCUCUUGCAAACACGGACAAUUAAAGAGAGAGAGCAAUCACAAGAGACACGCGAUUUUAUCCCAUGGUUCGGCCAAGUAACACUUGCCUACUUCCACGUUGUGGCAUCCCAAUGGACGAGGGUUGCACUCAACCCCUUUCAAGUGAUCCAAUGAUCAACUUGAAUACCACGACUUUUCUUCCUUAUAUCUUUUUCCUGUUUGCGAGGAAUCUCCACAAGUUGGAGCCUCUCGCCCUUACAAGGUUGAUCACAAAGAACGCACAAGAGUAAGGUUCGGAAGAGCAACGCACACAAGACUCAAAAACGCAGCACACCAACACACACAAGUGAAGACUUGAGCUCAAAUGACACACAUGGAGUUCUUGACUCGAAUGAAGCUCAAAUCUCUAACACAACAAAGCGAAUGCGCGGGAGCAGAGUCUGGAUGCCUUAGAUUGCUUAGUGAAUGCUGGGGUAUCUCCUCCAUGCGCCUAGGGGUCCCUUUUAUAGCCCCAAGGCAGUUGGGAGUCGUUGGAGGCCAACAAGGAAGGCCAAACUUGCCUUCUGUCGGGUGGUGCACCUGACAGUCCUGUGCACCACCGGACAGUCACUGUAGCUGUCUGAUACGCGAUCUCCUUCCUUUUCUAGCGCAUCCGACCGUUGCGGCUUCGGGCUCGUUGGCGCACCGGACACUGUCUGGUGCACACCGGACAGUACGGUGCCCUCUGCCGACCGUUGGUGCGGGCCACGCGUCGCCCGCGGAUUGCGCGGCCGACCGUUGGCUCACCGGACAGUGUCUGGUGCACCACCAGACAGUCCGGUGAAUUAUAGUCGUACGCCGCCAAACUUUUCCCGAGAGCGGCCUCUUCACCGGAGACGAGCCUCGCACACUGGACACUGUCCGGUGCACCACCGGACAGUCCGGUGUGCCAGACCGAGCUGAGUUUUGGCUGCACCGAGCCAAGUCUUUUUGGUUUCUUUUCUUCCUAUUUCCAGUACUUAGACAAAUUAUGUUAGUACUCAAAACAAUGUACUAAGUUUAGAAACGUACCUUGUUACAUGAUUUGCACUUCUUGCUUGUUUGGAACAUAGCUACUCACUUACUAUGUGUUGGACACUUAAUCACCAAAACAUUAUAGAAAUGGCCCAAGGGCACAUUUCCCUUUCAAUCUCCCCCUUUUUGGUGUUUUAUGCCAACACAUCAAAAAGCAACCAAAACAAGUGCAACAUCAAUGCAAAUGAGGACCAAAUUGUUUUUGAUCAAGAGCCAAAACUCACUUGGUUUGUUUUUGCAAAUCAAAUUCAUUUUCCUAUCUCUAAGUCAAACUCACUUGUUUGGGCACAAAGAGAGAUAAUCCAAGAGUGAAAUUGAUCAAGAGCCAAAAACUCCCCCUUUUCCCAUAAUCAAAAUUCUCCCCCAUAAGAGACCAAAUUUUGCAAUAAGAGUAUUUUGGACAAAUCAAAAAGUUCUAACAAUAUUGUUUUCAAAAUUUACAAGUGGUAGCUGAUCCAUUUUCUUUGGCCUUAAUUUCUCCCCCUUUGGCAUUAAGCACCAAAACGGGAUUAUUCUUGGCCCUUUAACCUCAUUGCCUCACCAAAAAUGUCAAUUAAGAGCAAAAAGGCAAUAAGAGCAUAAGAAUGAACUUGGAGGUGAGUACACUAAUACCAGAGUGCAGUGGAAGUCUUUGCAUGGUCCAAGUUCACCUUUUCCCUUUCAUUGCACCUUUAAGACUACAUCAAGUACACUUAAACACAAAGGUUAGUCUCAAAGGGUCAGGUUGUAGCACAUCUCCCCCUAAAUACGUGCAUCAUUCACACAUGGACUUUUGAGGUCCGGGGAUCCUUUGCCCAACUUGAGCACCAUAAAUAAGCAACAAAUUGCAUAAAUGUAUAAGUAACAUGAUCAAAGGCAUAAAACACAUGUAUGUUAUAGAUCAAUACAAGUUACGUGAAUCUAAGACAUUUAGCUCACUACGCAGCCUGCAAAAGGUUUUCUCAUCUAAUGGCUUGGUAAAGAUAUCGGCUAGCUGGUUCUCGGUGCUAAAAUGGAACACCUCAAUAUCUCCCUUUUGCUGGUGGUCUCUCAGAAAGUGAUGCCGGAUGUCUAUGUGCUUAGUGCGGCUGUGUUCAACAGGAUUAUCCGCCAUGCGGAUUGCACUCUCAUUGUCACAUAGGAGUGGGACUUUGCUCAGAUUGUAGCCAAAGUCCCGGAGGGUUUGCCUCAUCCAAAGUAGUUGCGCGCAACACUAUCCUGCGACAACACACUCGGCCUCAGCAAUGGAUAGGGCAAGAGAGGUUUGUUUCUUUGAACUCCAAGACACCAAGGACCUUCCUAGGAAUUGGCACGUCCCUGAUGUACUCUUCCUAUCAACCUUGCAUCCAGCAUAAUCGGAGUCUGAAUAUCCAAUUAAGUCAAAGGUAGACCCCUUUGGAUACCAGAUCCCAAAGCAAGGCGUAGAAACUAAAUAUCUAAGAGUCCGCUUAACGGCCACAAGGUGACAUUCCCUUGGGUCGGAUUGAAAUCUAGCACACAUGCAUACGCAAAGGAUAAUAUCUGGUCUACUAGCACAUACAUAAAGUAAUGACCCUAUCAUAGACCGGUAUGCCUUUUGAUCAACGGACUUACCUCCUUUGUUGAGGUCGACAUGUCCGUCGGUUCCCAUAGGUGUCUUCGCGGGCUUGGCGUCCUUCAUCCCAAACCGCUUGAGAAGAUCUUGAGUGUACUUUGUUUGGGAGAUGAAGGUGUCGUCCUUGAGUUGUUUCACUUGGAACCCAAGAAAGUAGUUCAACUCGCCCAUCAUUGACAUCUCAAACUUUUGAGUCAUCACCCUGCUAAACUCCUCACAAGACUUUUGGUUAGUAGAACGAAAUAUUAUGUCAUCGACAUAAAUUUGGCACACAAAAAGAUCACCAUCACAAGUCUUAGUGAAAAGAGUAGGAUCGGCUUUCCCAACCUUGAAAGCAUUAGCAAUUAAGAAAUCUCUAAGGCAUUCAUACCAUGCUCUUGGGGCUUGCUUAAGUCCAUAGAGCGCCUUAGAGAGCUUAAACACAUGGUCGGGGUACCUGUCAUCCUCAAAGCCAGGGGGUUGUUCCACGUACACCUCCUCCUUUAUUGGCCCGUUGAGGAAAUCACUCUUCACAUCCAUUUGAAACAACCUGAAAGAGUGGUGAGCGGCAUAGGCUAAUAAUAUUCUAAUAGACUCUAGCCUAGCCACAGGAGCAAAAGUCUCCUCGAAAUCCAAACCUGCGACUUGGGCAUAAACUUUUGCCACAAGUCGAGCCUUGUUUCUUGUCACCACCCCAUGCUCGUCUUGUUUGUUGCAGAACACCCACUUGGUUCCCACUACAUUUUGCUUUGGACGUGGCACCAGACUCCAAACUUCAUUUCUCUUGAAGUUGUUGAGCUCUUCCUGCAUGGCCAACACUCAGUCCGGAUCUUGCAAGGCCUCUUCUACCCUGAAAGGCUCAAUAGAAGAGACAAACGAGCAAUGCUCACAAAAGUUAGCUAAUCUUGAGCGAGUAGUUACUCCCUUGCUUAUGUCACCCAGAAUCUGAUCGACGGGGUGAUUUAUUUGAAUCGUCGCUCGGACUUGAGUUGGAGGGGCCAGUGGUGCUUCUUCCUCCAUAACUAGUUCUUCUUGUGCUCCCCCUUGAUCACGUGCUUCUUCUUGAGGAACCUGUCCAUCAUCUUGAGUUGGGGGAUGCACCAUUGUCGAGGAAGAAGGCUGAUCUUGCUCUUGUUGUUCCUGUGGUCGCACAUCUCCAAUCGCCAUUGUGCGCAUUGCGGCCGUUGGAACAUCAUCUUCAUCUAUGUCAUCAAGAUCAACUUGCUCUCUUGGAGAGCCAUUAGUCUCAUCAAAUACAACGUCGCUAGAGACUUCAACCAAACCCGAUGAUUUGUUGAAGACCCUAUACGCCUUUGUAUUUGAGUCAUACCCUAGUAAAAACCCUUCUACAGCUUUGGGAGCAAAUUUGGAAUGUCUACCUUUCUUCACCAAAAUGUAGCAUUUGCUCCCAAAUACACGAAAGUAAGAGACAUUGGGUAUUUGGGUUUGUUACCGAUAAGGAGUUCAUAGGAGGUCUUCUUGAGGAGACGAUGCAGAUAUAACCGGUUUAUGGCGUGGCAGGCUGUGUUCAUAGCUUCUGACCAAAACCGCUCGGGUGUCUUGAACUCUCCAAGCAUCGUCCUCGCCAUGCCGAUAAGCGUCCUGUUCUUCCUCUCUACCACACCAUUUUGUUGUGGUGUGUAGGGAGCGAAGAACUCGUGUUUGACUCCUUCCUCCUCAAGAUACUCCUCAACUUGUAGGUUCUUGAAUUCGGACCCAUUGUCGCUCCUUAUCUUUUUUACCUUGAGCUCAAAUUCGUUUUGAGCGCUCCUUAGAAAGCGCUUUAGGGUCCCUUGGGUUUCUGAUUUAUCCUGCAAAAAAGAAUACCCAAGUGAAGCGGGAAAAGUCAUCUACAAUUACAAGACCAUACUUACUUCCCCCGAUGCUAAGGUAGGCGACGGGUCCGAAGAGAUCCAUGUGAAGAAGCUCUAGUGGUCUUGAUGUUGUCAUCACAUUCUUGCUGUGAUGAGUGCUUCCCACCUGUUUCCCUGCCUGACAAGCUGCACAAGGUCUAUCUUUCUCGAAGCAGACAUUUGUUAGUCCUAACACAUGUUCUCCCUUUAGAAGUUUAUGAAGGUUCUUCAUCCCAACAUGUACUAGACAGCGAUACCACAGCCAGCCCAUGCUAGUCUUAGCUAUUAAGCAUGCAUCUAGAUCGACCUCCUCUUUAAAAAAAUCAACUAAGUAAAGUUUGCUGUCUAAUACACCCUUAAACACUAAUGAACCAUCACUCCUUCUAAAGACAGAAACAUCUAUAUUUGUAAAUAAACAAUUAUAAUCCAUGUUACAUAAUUGACUCACAGACAAUAAGUUGUACCCGAGCGAUUCAACUAAGAACACAUGAGAGAUAGAAUGCUCGGAUGUAAUGGCUAUCUUUCCCAAUCCUUUAACCUUGCCUUGGUUCCCAUCUCCAAAGAUGAUCGAAUCCUGGGAAUCCUUGUUCUUGACGUAGGAGGUGAACAUCUUCUUCUCCCCCGUCAUGUGGUUUGUGCAUCCGCUGUCGAUAAUCAAGCUUGAGCCCCCGGAUGCAUAAACCUGCAAGGUAAUUUACACUUGGGUUUUAGGUACCCAACUCUUGUUGGGUCCUACAAGGUUAGUCACAAUAGCCUUUGGAACCCAAAUACAAGCCUUAUCUCCCUUGCAUUUGGAUCCCAACUUUCUAGCAACUACUUUUUUAUUCUUACAAAAAAUUGCAAAAGAAGUAUUGCAAGCAUGGUAAAUAGUGGAAGGUUCAUUACAUACUCUCCUAGGCACAUGAUGCACAACAUGAUUUCUCCUAGGCUUACUUCUACCAUGCACAAAAGUAGAGCUAGAAGCAAACAUAGCAUGUGAAUUAAACACAUCAUAACUCCUAUUAUAAUGAGCAUUUCUAGAAAAUUUUCUAUCAUAAAUGUAAGCAUGACAUUUUUGAGAACUACUAGCCAUAGGAGCCUUCCCUUUCUCCUUGUUGAGAACGGGAGCCUUAUAGCUUGUUAAGUUCUUGGCUUUCCUUUGAAAGCCGAGCCCAUCCUUAAUUGAGGGGUGUCUACCAACGGUGUAGGCAUCCCUAGCAAAUUUUAAUUGAUCAAAAUUAAUUUUGCAAGUCUUAAGUUGAGCAUUAAGACUUGCCACCUCAUCAUUUAAUUUAGCAAUGGACGCAAGAUGUUCAUCACAAGCAUCAAUAUCAAAAUCCUUGCAUCUAUUGCAAAUUACAACAUGUUCUACACAUGAACUAGAUUUAUUAGGUACCUCUAGCUUAGCAUUUAAAUCAUCAUUCAAAAUCUUUAAACUAGAGAUAGAUUCAUGGCAAGCAGAUAACUCAGAAGAUAACAUUUCAUUUCUCUUAGUUUCUAAAGCAAGAGAUUUUUGCACACUAACAAACUUAUCAUGUUCCUCAUAUAAAAUAUCCUCUUGUUUUUCUAACAAUCUAUCCUUUUCAUUUAGAGAGUCAAUUAAUUCAUUGAUCUUUUCUACCUUAGCUCUAUCUAAUCCUUUGAACAAGCUAGAGUAAUCUACUUCAUCAUCACUAGAAUCCUCAUCACUAGAAGUAGAGUACUUGGGGGAAUCUCGACCACUUACCUUCUUCUCCUUGGCCAUGAGGCAAGUGUGGCGUUCGUUGGGGAAGAACGAAGACUUGUUGAAGGCCGAGGCUGCCAGUCCUUCAUCGUCGGAGUCGGAUGAAGAGCAGUCUGAAUCCCAUUCUUUGCCAAGAUGAGCCUCGCCUUUCUCCUUCAUAUAGCUUUUCUUAUUCUCCUUCUUCCCAUGUCUUUCUUCCCCCUGGUCAUUUUCAUUAUCGGGACAUUGAACAAUGAAAUGACCAGUCUUACCGCAUUUGAAACAGGAGCACUUUCCCCUUGUCUUAUUCUUGUUGGGGUACUCCUUGUGUCCUUUCAAUGCGAUCUUUAAGCGCUUGAUGAUAAGCGCCAUCUCAUCUUCGUUGAGGUCCGCGGCCUCCACUUGUGCCACCUUGCUUGGUAGCGUCUUCCUGUUGCUGGUUGCUUUGAGGGCAAUGGUUUGAGGCUCGUGGAAGGGUAGUGGACCGUUUAGAGCAUCGUCCACAUAUCGAGCCUCUUUCACCAUCAUGCGCUCGCUCACAAACUUCCCAAGGAUCUCCUCGGGCGUCAUCUUGGUGUACCUGGGAUUCUCACGAAUAUGGUUGACAAGAUGGGGGUCAAUUACCGUAAAUGACCUUAGCAUUAGUUCGACGACGUCGUGGUCCAUCCAUCUUGUGCUUCCAUAGCCCCUAAUCUUGUUGACCAGGGUCUUGAGCCUGUUGUAAGUUUGUGUUGGCUCCUCUCCCUUGAUCAUCGCGAACCUUCCCAGCUCACCUUCCACCAACUCCAUUUUGGUGAUCAUGGUGGCGUCGUUUCCCUCAUGUGAUAUCUUGAGGGUAUCCCAAAUUUGCUUGGCAUUGUCCAAGCCGCUCACCUUGUUGUAUUCAUCCCUGCAUAAAGAGGCUAGCAAAACAGUGGUAGCUUGUGCAUUCUUAUGAAUUUUCUCAUUAAUAAACACAGGGUUAUUCGUACUGUCGAAAUGCAUUCCAUUUUCAACUAUCUCCCAAAUACUAGGAUGGAGAGAAAAUAGGUGACUACGCAUUUUGUGACUCCAAAAAGAGUAGUCUUCUCCAUCAAAGUGUGGAGGUUUACCAAGAGGAAUUGAAAUCAAAUGAGCAAUGAAAUUGAACGGAAUACGAGAAUAAUCAAAAGAAUAAUUUUGAUUAACCAGUGUCUUUUUAGACGAGUCAUCGUCGUCGUCGUCUCUUGGUGAAGAAGAGGAGGCGUCGCUGUCGUAGUAAAUGAUCUUCUUGAUCCGCCUCUUCUUCUUCCCGUCCCUAUUCUUGUGACUCGAUCCUGAGUCAGUGGGCUUGUCGUCCCUUGGCUCAUUAAAGAGGGACUCCUUCUCCUUGUCGUUGACCACCAUCCCCUUUCCCUUAGGAUCCAUCUCUUCGUGCGAUUAGUCCCUUAGAUGAAGAGAAUGGCUCUAAUACCAAUUGAGAGCACCUAGAGGGGGGUGAAUAGUUGAUCCUGUAAAAUUCAACACUAAAUUCCAACAACCUUGAUUAUAAAGAUAUUAGUGUGGGUUAAGCAAGUCAAUGAGGCGAGCUCUUGCAAACAUGGACAAUUAAAGAGAGAGUAAUCACAAGAGACACUCGAUUUUAUCCCGUGGUUCAGCCAAGUAACACUUGUCUACUUCCACGUUGUGGCGUCCCAAUGGACGAGGGUUGCACUCAACCCCUUUCAAGUGAUCCAAUGAUCAACUUGAAUACCACGGCUUUUCUUCCUUAUAUCUUUUUCCCGUUUGCAAGGAAUCUCCACAAGUUGGAGCCUCUCGCCCUUACAAGAUUGAUCACAAAGAACGCACAAGAGUAAGGUUGAGAAGAGCAACACACACAAGACUCAAAAACGCAGCACACCAACGCACACAAGUGAAGACUUGAGAUCAAAUGACACACAGGGAGUUCUUGACUCAAAUGGAGCUCAAAUCUCUAACACAACAAAGCGAAUGCGCGGGAGCAGAGUCUGGAUGCCUUAGAAUGCUUAGUGAAUGCUUGGAUAUCUCCUCCAUGCGCCUAGGGGUCCCUUCUAUAGCCCCAAGGCAGCUGGGAGCCGUUGGAGGCCAACAAGGAAGGCCAAACUUGCCUUCUGUCGGGUGGUGCACCGGACAGUCACUGUAGCUGUCCGGUGCGCGAUCUCCUUCCUUUUCUAGCGCAUCCGACCGUUGCAGCUUCGGGCCCGUUGGCGCACCGGACACUGUCCGAUGCACAGCGGACAGUCCGGUGCCCCCUGCCGACCAUUGGUGCGGGCCACGCGUCGCCGGUGGAUUGCGCGGCCGACCGUUGCGCUGGCGACCAUUGGCUCACCGGACAGUGUCUGGUGCACCACCGGACAGUCCGGUGAAUUAUAGCCGUACGCCGCCAAACUUUUCCCGAGAGCGGCCUCUUCACUGGAGACCAGCCUGGCGCACCGGACACUGUCCGGUGCACCACCGGACAGUCCGGUGUGCCAGACCGAGCUGAGUUUUGGCUGCAUCGAGCCAAGUCUUUUUGGUUUCUUUUCUUCCUGUUUCUAGUACUUAGACAAAUUAUGUUAGUACUCAAAGCAAUGUACUAAGUUUAGAAACAUACCUUGUUACAUGAUUUGCACUUCUUGCUUGUUUGGCACAUAGCUACUCACUUACUAUGUGUUGGACACUUAAUCACUAAAACAUUAUAGAAAUGGCCCAAGGGCACAUUUCCCUUUCAGUUUGUCAAAGAGAUCCGUCUAUGAACUCAAUUUAGCGUCUUUUAACUUGUGAAUACUUGCAGGGCCAAAGAGAACCUGUCUAUAAGUGCCGAGUUGAGACAAGUAGCCAACAUCUUUGCUUAUAGGGUCAAUAAAUAUUCUGGGUCUGACAUCAAUGGAUACCAUUUUCGCACAACAAACUAUGACCAAAGUCGGUCCAAUCGGAAAACAACGUGUUCUGGAGUCUUUACGCCCGGCCUUGACGAUGUCGAUUAUUUUGGACGAAUCAAAGAAAUAUAUGAACUCAAUUUUUAUGGUUCCAAACCUCUUACUCCAGUGAUAUUCAAAUGUCAUUGGUUCGACCCUCAAGUGACUCAAGAAUGGUUUGAUCAUAACUCUUAUCAUCACUAUCAACCAUUUCAUAGUCAACACCAUCUGAAGGCGCAAGUUCGCCAUUAAUGUCAUUGCCUUCAAGGAUUACUAAGUCAUUCUCAUUUUGCACCUCAUCAUCCUCCUCAUCAACAACCAUUUCAAUAUCUACGUCCAUUCUGAUAGCUUCGGUUAAGUCUAUCUCAAAUCGCCCUUCUAGCCCAUCUUCUUGGAAGAACUCUCCAUCAUAUGUGUCCGGGUCUAAGUUAUAAUCUUCAUCGUUAGGAACAGGUAAUCUCCCGUGCGGCGAUGCCUUAUACAUAACAUCCCAACCCUUAAGAUGUUCUUUCGUUUGGCACGCAUAUGGGAGAUAAUACACUUGUGUGGCCUGUUGGGCCACGAUAUAGACAUCGUCUCCUGGUAAGGUGGAAUCUUGUCGAAUUUCGACUAUCCCAAGAUUAGAAUGUGUCUGUCUCAUCACUUGAGGGUCAAACCAAUGACAUUUGAAUAUCACUAGAGUAAGAGGUUUGGAACCAUAAAAAUUGAGUUCAUAUAUUUCUUCGAUUCGUCCAAAAUAAUCGACAUCGUCAAGGCUGGGCUUAAAGACUCCAGAACACGUUGUAUUCCGAUUGGGCCGACUUUGGUCGUAGUUUGUUGUGCGAAAACGGUAUCCAUUGACGUCAUACCUAGAAUAUUUAUUGACCCUAUAAGCAAAGCUAUUGGCUACUUGUCUCAACUCGGCACUCAUAGACGGGUCUCUUUGGCCCUUCAAGUAUUCGCAAGUUAAAAGACGCUAAAUUGAGUUCAUAGAUGGAUCUCUUUGACAAACUAAGCACAUACCUUACGUUUGAACCAAGAAAUGAAAUCAAACAAUCCAUUUGUCGCACCCUUUCUAAGAAGAGUAUCAUAUUCCUGUGGAGUUGGGUCCCUUGAUCGAUGCCAAAAUUCAUGAAGAAAUUGUUCCAUGUAUGACGUCACCUCUUCAUGGUUGGUCAUACAUAUAGCAUGAUAUGCUGCCACUCUUCAUGUGUCAGGGUCUUGGUGGUCGAGCCACUUGCGCUACCGAGUUGGCCUCGAAAUAUGCUGAGGUUCGAUUCAUUGUCGCCAUGAUUGUAACGAGGGGGUGGAUUAUGCACGCUCGGCAGUUUGUCAUCAUAGUAAGUUGUUGUGAAGUUUGACACCUCCUCUAGAAUGUAUGCCUCUGCAAUGGAAGCCUCGAUUUUGCAUUUAUUUCUACGUUUCUUUUGAUUAGUCUUUAAACAUCUCUCGAUUGGAUAGCACCAACGUCCAUGCAUGACCCCAUUCGUGCCUCAUUAGGGAGAUGAAGAAUCAAAUGCUGCAUUGGAUUGAAGAAGCCGGGUGGAAAGAUCUUCUCAAGCUUACAUAGUAACACAGGUGCCAAUCUUUCCAAGUCUGCAACCAUGGUCCGAGAUAACUCUUUUGCACAAAGCUGACGGAAGAAAUAUCUCAACUCUGAAAGCACUAGCCAGACAUGCUCACGAACAUAGCCUCGAACCAUCGCAGGAAGAAUCUGUUCAAUUCAUAUGUGGAAGUCAUGACUCUUCAUCCCUAAGACUAGCAGAGUAGAUAAGUUCACCCCCUACUCAGGGAACAUUAACAUCUUGAUCCACACUAGUACUUCCUUUCUUUGGGCCCUUCUUAGGAUGAAAUCAGCCUUAGGCCUUCUCCAUGUAUUUCCACCACUAGGCGGCUUCAUCUCUUGGUUUGGUCUAUCACAUAACACUGCCAGAUCCACUCUUGCCUUUACGUUGCCCUUUGACUUAUUAUGAAUGCCCAUAAUGGUUGCCCAAAGUGCCUCGUCAACAUUCUUUUCAGUGUGUGUCACGUCAAUGUUGUAUGGAAGGAGCAGGUCGUCAUAAUAGGGGAGGCAAGUCAAGCCCGACUUAUGUGUCCACAUAUGCUGCUCACCAUGUCCCACAAAACCACCUUCUGGGUUGGCCACGAGACCAUCUAUCUGUUGACGAACUUCAACACUAGUCAUCAUUGCAGGUGGGCGGUCUAUCACUACGACACCUUUCAUAAAGUUAUUGAUGUCUAGUCAAAAUGCAUGGUCAGGAGGGAGAAAUUUACGAUGUUUAUCAAACGAUGAAUAUUUACUACCCUUCUUCAACCAAUUGACCCUAAAGAGCUUCCUUGCAAACUGGGCAUGGGAACUUACCGUGAACACACCAGGCGUAGAAUAGCCCAUACGCUGGUAAGUCAUGCAUGGAGUACUGGUACCAAACAUGCAUUUUGAUGUUUGUCUUCGUAGCUCGGUCGUACGUCUAUACCCCUUCCUCCCAAGCACGAACCAAUUCAUCAAUCAAAGACUCCAUGUACAUGCCCAUUUCAUUCCCCGGGUGUCUAGGAAUUAUCAACGACAUGAAUAUGUUCUGUCUUUGAAAGCAUACACCGAGGGAUUGAUGGGAUAACGAGCACGGGCCAACAUGUGUAUGGGGCAGCGGUCAUUCCAUGGGGAUUGAACCCAUUUGUGGCCAGCGCAACACGUACAUUACGAGCCUCUUUGGCUUUCUCAUGGUGAAUGGCAUGAAAGUGGGUCCAUGCUUCACCAUCAGAUGCAUGUACCAUCUUGUCAAGAUUAUAUCGUUUGCCAUUUAUGUGCCAUUUCAUCUAUUUCGCGGAUUCCUCGGUCAUGUAUAGAAGCUAGAUCCUCUGUAUGACGGAAGGUGACGUAGGAUUGUCACGGGGAUGUCGAUUUGCCUCUUAUAUUCAUCAAUUCAAAGGUCUUCAUCGUUUGCUUUUGAUUUUAGCAUUUUUUUCCUUCGACCCUUGAGUCCAUUGGGUGCACCAUGGGUGUAGCCCCUGAGCUUUGAAUUGAUUUGAGUACUAAUCAAUUCAAAGGUCUUCAUCGUUUGCUUUUGAGUUUAGUAUUUGGAUUUAUUCUGGUGAUCUCGUUUUGGGCAGCUCUUGCCUGGUUUGAGCUUGUCUUGACUUAAACCUCUGUUGACUAGGACAUGGCUGGCUGAGUCUAGACUAAAAGAGGUCUGGCUGGACGGCACUCGGCCAGGGUCUUCAAUGCUUCUGUUGACUGGGCUUUGGUCGAUAAAACUUCAACCGGCUUCAAUAUGAUCAUAUCAUCUUUUGUCGAUUGGUAUUCACUGCGGAUAUCUUGCAGAUUGCAUUGCUUCAGAAAAUCUCGAAAAUUCCAGGCUGCACACCCAAUGGGUGCGCCCAAAGGGUGUGUAUCCAUCGAGUAGUGUACAUUGUCUUGUCCAAAAAUAGGAGCCAGACGUGAUAGGAGGGCAAUGCUGAGCAGUUGACCUUAAUAUCUCCUGGUGUUGUGUCGUAUAAAUAGGUGUAAGUCGUCUGCUCCUUUUCUUGGAAACUAGAGAGACUAUUGAAGUUUUUGCGACUGUUCACUGAACGGGCAAGAAGCGAGGGGUCAGCCUUUGCCGUCUUUAAAUAGCCCUCCUACCCGCGUCCGCUCUCUUCACUCGUUCUUGCCUUUCUGCACUCUUCUUCGUCUACUCUUCCCACUCGUCUGAGAAAGCAUGGCAGGUGGCAAAGGUGGCAAGGGCAUGCAUGGCUUGGCGGAGGGAAAAUGCAAGCGCCCUCUAACUCCUCCGUCGGAGGACUUCGGCGGCUCAGAGUUUUCCGAGGAGGGCUUCUCCUUCGAGGGCUACGACUCUCCGCAACCAGCACUCCCCAUAGCAUCGUUCGAUGACUUGGAUGAUUCCAUGGGGUUGUCGGCAGCCGAGAGGGCCUACAUCCGGUCCGUCGCGCGAGAAGGGCUCGAGGGGGCUGAUGACUCAGAAGAGGACUCCGAGGAGGAGGACGACAGUGAUGGCUCUGGUGGCUUCACUGCCACGAAUGGAGCAACGCCGGCCGCCACCGUUAACCCCCCUGGCGCCCGAUCCUAGUCGCCCGCUCACGAUCCAACGACUUGGAUCUCUAGAUACCGAUUCGAGCGCGCGCCUCUAUCCCUGGGCCCCACCUGUCAGCCCGCCCUCGCCUCGGGCCGCUGAUCGCUCUGGUCCGCUUGUCACCGCUCGCUCACGCCCCCGCGCGCGCUCGGCUGUAGACCUAAUCUCGGUCAUUGAUCUAUGAUCGGAUGGCCAGGAAUGCCCCAUACCUCUUCACCUGGUAAAUUUGUUAAAGAGCCCCUCAGUUUCUUAGAAAACAACUCGUAGUCCUAUUUUCUUGCGCCCAUGCCUCUGGUGCCUUGCAGAGAUGCCCCUGGACUUUAUUUUAAUCACAGAAAUAGGAUUAAUUUAGUGUUUUGAAUUCUAAAACUUGUAAAUUUCAUAUCUUUUGCAUAUGAACUCCAAAUUGGGUGGUUCAAAUUGCAAAAAGUUCAUAAUGUUAUUAUCUGUCUGUUUAAAUUAUAUUCAUUCACUGUUUGCAUGUCUCAAUUUUGUAGCUAGACUCUAGGUUAACUUAAAGUGAUAAAAUAUUUAUUAAAAUUAAAAUAAAGGGUAGUACCCUAGUGAAUAUUCAUGUUCCUAAACUAGUAGAUUCUACCUCAGUUAAUGUAAUCCCAUCCCUACAAUAACUUUAUCUAAAUAAGUAAUUCACUAAGAUAGGCAUAGUUAGGUAGUUAAUCUACUGAGACAUGCAGUAGUUGGAGAAUAGUAGACCCUUAAACAUAGUGAUCUACCCUAAAACCAAGAGUUCAUUUGUGUGUUUGUGCUUUUUCACUGAACCUAUGUUUACUCUAUUGCAUAUGAUUGGUGUACUGUUCCUUUGUCAUUUCCCAAGUGUGUUGAAUGAAUGAUUGUUUUGCAUAGACAACGAGCAGUCCGAGGUUUCCGAGUGUGUUGCAAGAGACUUCCCUAAGCAGCAACCUGGUGAAGGCAAGUGUCCUCUGACCCAUUAUGUCCUACUUACUUUACAAUUCAUUGUCCCGCAUACCAUGAACAACAUAAGGAUACCCUUUGGGGAUUGGUUACUAUGUUUAGUAUCAUGCUAUUGUUUUACUUUAAUCAAUGAAUAUGAUGAGAACAUUUAUGAUAUGUUGAUGACAACUUGAUUUAUGAUGAUGAACAUGUGAUACUUUAGGGGACUCAGGAUGUUUCCCGAGUACCUCUCUGUAAGGACCUGUUCGCUGGAUGACCACCCGGGAAAAUAGUACAACCUUGAGGGUGGAAUGGAAUGCUCUUAGCUAAUUAAUUGGAUGAAUCUGGGGGUGUAGUUUGCUUCGCAAUUGUGCCAUCAAUGGGGGCAAGGGCUUAGUGCUUGCUCAGCUAAGGGUGGGUGACGAGGUUCAUUUGGUUUGGUUUUGUUAGUCACCCAUCUUAGGGAGGAGUAUCGUGUUUGUACAACUGGCAAAACCUAACGGGCAACUACACACUAGGGGGUUCUUUGUAAAGGCUACAUAGUGAAUCCUUGACCAUUCACCUCAGUAGUGAAGAUCGGGUCUUGCAAACCCAGGUGGAAAGGAAUCACGACAUGUGGGUAAAGUGUGCACCUCUGCAGAGUGUUAGAAACUGGUAUAUCAGCCGUGCUCACGGUUAUGAGAAGCGAGCUCCUUUGAUAAGAGUUACUCUGGAUACUUUCAUGAUGAUGCUUAACGGUGGUGAUUAUAUUUAUGGUUCUUGGUAUUUCCUCUUGGAGGGAGUACUAAGUGGGUAAUAACUUGGGAGUAUUGCUAAAACUUGGCUCUCUACUAGUAAUAAAUACUGACCAACUAAAAGCAACUGCUUUAACCUUAACUCCACAUACAACUAGUCCACUGUAGCCAAACGGGACAUUUGUUGAGUAUGUCGAUGUGUACUCACUCUUGCUUGAAAACACCAAAACCCUAGGUUGUCCCCAUUGCAACCAGUGCUCGAGAGAAGAUGAAGGCAACGUGGAGGACUUUUAGGACUUCGACGAGUUCUAGAUUAGAUUAGUGGCAAACCCCCAGUCAACUACCUGUGAAGGGCUUACCGUACUACGUUUCAUAUUUGCACUUUGAUUAUGACUUAAGUUAAUGACUCUGUGGAUGUCUUGGACAUCGUGAUGCAAUAAAGUACUUAUUUUCGCUAUUAUUUUGAGCAAUGUGUGAUGAUGUCCAACUCUGUAAUCGUUGUGUACGUGAAUUUCUGAUCCUAGCACGUACAUGGUUCUCUUUUGGGUUUCCUUCGAAAACCAGGUGUGACAUAAGUGGUAUCAAAGCCUUGCUGACUGUAGACCCACUAACCUAGACUAGAAUGGUCACUUUAAGGACUAUAGACCCUUAUUCUCACCUUGACCCUUGGUGUUACUUCAAAAGUUGGUCAUCUCGACCAAUUCUAUGUUAUACUACUACAUAUAUACUCACCUUACAAAAUUUUUAUCUUAUUCUGCUUAUGGUUUACUUGGUGCUCAUAUAGUUCUAUUCUCACUCUUGUGCUUACAACAUCUUUUGUAGAUGGCCCAUCUUAGAUGCACUGCACGUAAGUUGGUGAUCCCUUUCCUGCCCUCUCACCUUGCGGAGCGUCCACUGUGACGCACGAUGACUAGAUAGUCGAGUCACCUAGAGAUAUUGCAUCGCCGCCUACACGAGGAGUAGGAAUGUCGAUGCUAGGAGCAGGAGCAACAUGAUUCUUCCCCCUCACCUCAGCAGGAGGUGGAGUUUAGGAGGCAGUCCUCCUCUUUGCCUCAGCUAGAGGUGCCCCUGCACCACCACAGGGCACCCCAGCUGCCGGAGGAGACCCCAAUGGAGACGAUGACAGUGGCAGUUUGAGCCACAACAUGGAGUCUUCCGAGGAGCAGGAGCCAGAAGGAUGGGUCACCCGACCUAUCACUCGUGACACCGCUCACGGUUGUCAUUUCUACGACGCUCUCGACACCUUGUUGUGUCGGCCUUUCGACCGACACACUUGGUCCAUCGAGAACCGCUAUGUAGUCUACCAGCACAGUCGCAGGUUAUACCCGGACCAAUAGGAGGCUACCUUCCUAGUGCGUCAUCCGGAUGAUGAUCUCCGGGAUGCAGAGGCCUAUUUAGAGCAUUAUUCUAUCACUGAGCGGGACACUGCCGAGACAACCAUGUAGGAUGUUGCACGUCAUGCACUUUCGUAGUAAAACCAACCGCUCAGGCGCAUUAUUAUGCCAUGUCGUGUCAAGUAACUAUUUUGAGACAAGACAACAUACAAACCAAGUGGGCACACCCAUUGGGUGUACAGGUCGAAUUUUUCGGGAUUUUCAAAAGCAACCUGAUCCAUGAGAUAUCCACAUAAGCUACAAAAUGACAAACUCAAGAUUGGUCAAACUAGAGUCGACUGGACCUCUAUCGGUUGAGCCUAGUCAGCGGUCUCACUAAAACCCUGACCAGGCACAAUCUAGCAGGACCUCCAUUGGCUGGGUUCCAGUCGGUCAGGUAGUCACACACGGAUUCAAGGGCAAAUCCAAGCGCGAAUCAAAUGUGUGCUAGGAUCAAGUCUCACACAUAUGAUGACUCAUGGUACAGAAGAAUGUCACAUAUUUAUUAUAAAAUAGAGGUUCUAUACAAAGCAGUUAAAUAAUUACAUCAUAUGACGACAACGAUCCCACAACCUUAGUUGACUAGGAGACAAUGGCCUAGACCUCUCACGAAUUCAUCGUGGUAUCCUUCAUGCUCUUCAUAUUGAUGGUACCUGUCCUUGACCUAGGGGUAUGAGUACAACAAGGGUGAGCUCACAUACAUUCAUCGCUCAACAAGUUGUGGGGAAUAAUGUGCAUGAGCUCACUUACGGUGGGGGCUCAUGUAAAGUGUAAGGCUUACCAAAGAAGAUGGUUAAAGCUGAGCAUUGCUUUUAAAGUUGGUCAAAGUUUUAUUAGCAUUUACUAAGUAUAAGUAGAUACCAUCCCAAUUAAAUAAUUGAUCACAAUUAAUAAUAAAACCCACAAUGCAAUGCAAAUGGCAGAUUAAGUUUAAUUCCAUAAGUUACUCAUGUGAGGGUCCGAGCCACUCUUGACCGUAAGCACGACUGAUAUACCAGUUUUACACUGUGCAGAGGUUGCGCCAUUUACCCACAAGUCGUGUAUCCCAGCUAGCCAUGGUUUGCAAGGCCUUUAGACACUUCUGAGGUGAAUGACUAGGGAUCCACUAUGAGGCCUUUACAAAGUUCCACUAGAUUCAGAAAACCCGCUACGAUUUCGUGAGAAGAUGAUAUAGGAAUCCCUCAUCCGAAAAGCCAUCGCAGCAUGAUCGACCCGAGAACCUCCCUACACCGACAACUCCUCUAUCGCCCUUGCCCCUUUUGGGUUAGGUAGUUGUGGCGGAACCGUCCGAAUUAUUCCAGCUUAAGUGCCCAAGUCGCUCCCUUAAAGGCAGCAACACACUUAAACCGAAAUAACCCGUCAGUCCCUCGGAUCUAGUCCGAUAAAGCCACUUAUCCAGGAUCGAAUACCACUAGCUCACUCGAAGGUGAGGCACAGAGAAAUACAAUAAAGCAUAAUACCAUAAAUUAAGAAAGUAUCAUUAGUGAUUACAUUAUCGGAGUUUCAGAAAUAAUAACCAUAAAUUUUAAUGCAGCGGAAAUAACUAACGAAGAAAACCGAGUAACAUGGUGAAGCCUGGCCACGCUACUCCUCCUGGUCCUCUCCUGCGGAAGCAGUAACCCACUCGACCAUCUAACCUAGUGGCAAGGAUGAAGGCCAAGUCACACCAUUAACCAAAUCAAGGAGUACCUGCAAAAAUUAUGCCACAAGCAAGGCUGAGUAUACUAAUACUCAACUAGACUUAACCGGUGUGAGGAGUCUACUCCUCUACCUCUAGGCAUGCAGUUGUUUGGCUGAGGGGUUUGGUUUGCCAAAAGCACUAGCUGAGUAUAAAGUCAAGUUUUAGCUUUUCAAGUUUUAGUAAGAUCCUUUUUACUAGAUGUGUAAUUCUUUUGAAUUUGAGUUGGAUACAGAGGUAUUAAACCGAAUCGGAUAAGAAUUUAUUAGAGGACAACACAUUGGGGAUUACGCUUUGAAAUUUUCUCACGCCCUAUUUUAGAAAUAAAUGUUUCUCUCAAACUUUUGAUCGACUUUGGAUUUUUAGUCGGAGAAGGCGAAUCGUGACAUUUUAAAAAGCACUAUCGAUUCGGGUUUUGAGUUCGGUUCGGACAUAGAGAUAUUUGGCCGAGUCGGAUAAUAACUAAUUAGAUACCGACACAAUAGAGCAUUUUGUUUGAGAGUACGGACUCGGAUUAAUUUUUGGACAUAGAUCGAAUCAUCGAGAAAUUUGAUUCGGACACAGGUCGACUAGCAACUGUCGAGCGUUUGAUUAAAUGAGCUUUAGACGAGAUUUACAAAUCGAGAUUGAUUAAUGAGAUUGCAUUCGUGUCGAGAAGUAAAAGUUUUUAACAAGUUCCAAAUUUGGCCUUCUGUGAGACUGAAUAACUCCGAAUUCGGUGAAAUGUGAAUGAAUCGUCUAGAUAAUCAGAGACAUACGCGAGCGAGAAAUAGAAAUUUUCACUGAGCAUCCGAGAUUAGGAUAAUUGUCCCGUCAUAACACGAAACAGACACAUGGGGUGUCACAGUAGUCCUCCACUAGCUUUCCUAAUUAGUCAGCCAGGGGCGUCCCAUUCCACCCUUGUGGUAGCACUGUUUUCUCAGGUGGUCGCUCCAUGUUCCAAUUAACAUAAUAAUCUUACCAUGAACAAUAAGUAAACCAAUAAUAAUAAUGUAACAUGAUCAUAAUUUAGUAUAGCAUUAAUCCCAAAACCAGGUAGAGCAAUAGCAAGUCUACCCAAUAGUUCAUUUGUUUGCAAGGUGUGGGGUAAACAAAACUAGGGUAACCUAUUAGGUCCCAUCAAAUUAACCUGAGCAUGCCACAGUGAUUAACAUGAACAUUACUAGGUAAAGAAGAGUGAUCAAGGACACAACUUGCCUAUGACUUGAGAUUCCAGGUACUUCACCAAGUUGGUCUUCGGAUUCCUCGUGACCUCGUCUCUACUAGUAGCAAUAUAUACAAUCAAGCAAAUAAUGGAUAUGGUAACAUUACACCAAAGCAUAGAAACAAACUGCGUAAGAAUAUUCUACGCACUGCUACGAGAUCAUAGGUUCAAGAACCACUAAAUUCGGAGUUACGAUUGAAGAGAUACGGUUCCCAGAAGGUCUAGUGACUAAACAAUUAAUACUAUGUCCUAUAUUGACUUUAUAAAUCAUGUGAGAUAUACAUUAAAGAUUAACUUUAAUAUAAGUCAUACCUUAGUUAGAGAUCAUCUUAUAUUCAAAUUAUAAUUAUAAACAUAUUACUUUGAUUGGUUAGAUUAAUCUACUAUACAUAAAUAAAUACCUAAUUACAAAAGUAUGUGAUAUGAUAAAAUUAGUGUUAUACUGUAUAGGUAAUAUUAUUAUUAAUCUAACGCAAUUUGAACGGGUCAAUUCGGAAUUAAAACAGAGAAGAUAUGAUUUUUUUCGAAGUUUUAGGGAAUUAUUUAUACUCUAAAAGUAUUUUCUAUAUUCAUUUUAUGAAUUCUUGGGAAUUUUGGACUGCGGGUACUAUUUCCUAAAAACAUGGGGUGUGAUUCACAAAUUUCUGGGCCUAUUUGACAUGAUCUUGGUGAAGGGAGGGACGACAGAUUCAUUUAAAUAAAACUGAGGGUCUCUUUUGCAUAACUAUUCGAUCAAAAGGGUAUUGGUGGAUCUCGGUCGCCAGAUCGCUCAUCAAUGACCCGGAUUAGAUUUUACUCAUAAUGAACCGGUAUGCGCUAUUGGCCUUUACAUCUGAGAUCCACGGUCAAGAUUUUUAUGAUGCUAGAUCUCACUCCAUUCACCCGAUUAGAUCGAACGGCAUAGAUUCCCCUGGCCAAACCGUUAUCCUCCUUCUAAUGGUUUCCCUUUCUCGCUCGGCUUCGUUCUCUCUGUACGACACUCGAUGGCUUGGUGCUCAGGUCACGAUGGGGGCGGGGCAGGGGUUCGAUUUUAUACCCAAAACUGGAUUAAGUUCGAGCCAACGUGGAUCGAGGGAUGGGGCCUGAAAUCCCUGCGGCGAACUCGGUGGGAGAUGAUGCUGACAACUAUGACCCACAGGCCAGCGCCUGCGCGUAUGCGAGAAAGAGACCGGAUGCAUGACCCGCCCGUCGGUGUCCCAAGGAUGGGUUGGACGCGAGCGCGCGGUAAGUGGGCCAGCUGAGGGGGGGGUUGGUCUAGGAAUAGGUCUGCCUUUUUUCCUCUUUUCUUUUAUGUUUUAUAUUUUGAAUUUGUUUUCUUAUUUCAAGUUAGAUUCAAAUCUACACUUCACGAACUUCAAGCCAAUACAAACAAAAAUCCAGUAUGUAUUCAGAGUAUUAUUUUAUUAAUUAUUUUAUAGUUCUUUUGACUUGAAUAUAGGCUUGCAUGCACAUAAAAGAAAAUAAAUCACAUUCUUAAUAAAAAUUUGAAAACCUUUCUUUUUUAGUGUUUCAGAUUUAUACUUAAUUGUCAAAAUUCAAACCUGAUAUUUGGCUAAAUUAAUAGUGUCCUCAUUCCUAAAUUUUAACCAAAAUUUGAAAACCUUUCUUUUUCAGGGUUUCAGAUUUAUACUUCAUUGUCAAAAUUCAAACUUGAUGUUUGGUCAAAUUAAUAGUGUCCUUAUUCCUAAAUUUUAACCAAAUCAAAUGCCUUAUCUAUUCCCAUAAAAGCAUAUUGAUAUAAACCUUUAUUUUAAGUUAAAUCUUUAGAGGAAGCAAGGAUAACUCUUUUAUGGGAAUUUGGCUUCUAAUCUAUCAUUAUAAAAUAUGGUUAUCACCGCUUGGGAGAAUUCUCACUAAUCUUUAAAACCAAGAUUUUAUGGUGUUACACAGGUUCUGCCGGCAUGACUUCAGUCGGGCGGAUGUCAGUCGACCAGAUUUUAGCCUGAUGAAUCUCGCUCAAUACGGCAAACUAGAACCUUUCAAAAGCAAGAUUUUGAAGACCUUUGAAUUAAUUGAUGCUCAAAUCAAUUCAAAGCUCGGGGGGCUACAAUGCACCCAAUGGAUACAAAGACGGAUCAAAUCCGCACUUAAAAGCAAGAUUGUAAAGACCUUUGAGUUGAUUGAUGCUCGAAUCAAUUCAAAGCUCGAGGGCUACACCUAUUGGGUGCACCUGGAUACAAAUAUGGAACAAAGCUGCACUCAAAAGCUUAUAAAAAUCAAAGGGCACGAUUCUUCCUUCGAGUCUCGAGCCAAUUACUCUCAAAAGUUGGUUUGAGCAUCGUGAGCUUAUGGGGCAUAGAUAUCCCCGGGGACCUCACGAACACUAAAACACAUCAUGGGCCACCUGACGGACCUCUCGAUGGCUUGCCUAGCGAGACAUGCCAUUAGGCCACAACCCGGCCGGACGAGCUCGAUCCAGGAAGACAAAGACCGGACGUCUGAGUUAUGCGCAGAUCGAAGCGCUGAUAUCUCGGGCGAACAGGUUGCGCACACCUAAAGGGCUAAACACUCGGUGUUACCUCGGCUGAGGAAGCGACUGAACUUCGGAUAAGAAGGAAUAUAUGCCACGUUAAAGGAGGAUUUAGGUAGAGUAGAUAGUGAUCACAACUUGUAAAGGGAUAACCCUCUGGUCACCUAUAUAAGGCCGAGGGGUAAUACUAUCUCUCAUCGACCACAUCCUAGCACCACCUCAAAGCUCAUAGGCCCUCCUGUAGCAACCACAUGCUACUAGAUCGGCAGGAGAACUCAUCCUCCACCACCCUAGCUCAUUUGUAAUCCGUAUACCCCUAGUGCAAUUCUAAUAUACAACAUCAAUAGGAAGUAAGGUGUUACACAUUCUAGCGGUCUGAAUCUGUAUGAAUCCUUGUGCAAUCCGACGUGCUCCCGCAUGUACCAUCGAGUCGCAAUCAACGAUGACGUCCUGCUCAAAAGCAUCUCGUGGGAAACUCCAUGGUGCGCAGUCGGGUCAUAAACACCGACAGAAAUGCUGUAGAAGGUAGAGAUAUAGAGAGAGAAGUUGCUGACGUGGCAUGAGGGGUAGGAUAUAGGGGGAGAAAUAUAGAGUGAACCGUUAAACUCAGUCUUAGUCAGGAUAGCUAGCUGUCCACCAACCAAAUAGUCUCAUAUUAGUUUUUCUAAAUUGUCAUUUAAUUACUAAAACACAACGAGAGCUUUGUUGGAGUUCAAACUUCAAAGGAACUUUUGAAACUCAGCAACGGAAAACGAACUUGACUCUAUUUCAUACGGUGAAAUCUUGUACAGUGUGGUUUUUUAUUUUCUGUUUCUUAUAUGCGGUCAUCCGGCGCUUUUGCAGGUGGAGAGGCCAAUUUGUCCCUCGAGCAUAGCAUUUCUGGCCUUAAACGGGGAUCAUGAAACAUUCAGCAAGAGAGUUGUCACUUAAAAAAACAAAUCUUACACAAGGGAGAAGGGUCAACGUACUGAUAUGUAACUCGUUUGGACCUAAGAAAGAUCUAAAGUUCUAAACAUAGAUUAUGUUCUUAAUAGGCACAUUUUAAAAGUUUAUGAAGCGGAUCGACACGAACGUGAAGUUAUAUAAGUAUUUUUUAUAUAACUUCACGCGGUGCAAUGCAACGAUGCACGAACGCCGCCAGGCAUAGGUAGCUCGUGCCGCCGUCCACCACGGCUCUCGACGCAGCCUCGCGGACGUUCGCCGUUUUCACUGCCAUCGCGUCGUCUCCCAUAGCCUCCAUCACCAGCGCUGCGAUCUCCUCCGCUCUCACCAGCGCCUCUUCCCCCUCCCAGCUCCACUGCUCAGCCCACACACCGAGCCCGCAACGGACCACCACGCUGGCGUUCACUCGCUGGUCCGCGAACCUCGGCCACGCCAGCACUGGCACGCCGCUGCUCACUGCCUCCGUCACCGAGUUCCAUCCGCAGUGGCUGACGAACAGCGCCACGGCCGGGUGCCUGAGCACCUCCUCUUGCUCGACCCACGACUUGGUCACCAGGCCACGGCCUUGCACGCGCCGCAGGAAGGCCUCGCCAAGCAGUUCGCUGAGCUCCCCAGCGUCAUCCCUGUCCACGACAGCGCCCUUCACAACCCACAAGAAGCGGUGGCCACACGCUUCCAGUCCGGCGGCGAGCUCCUUGAUCUGGUCCUUGGGGAGAGCCUUGCGGCUACCAAAGCUGACAUACACCACAGGCCGCGGCGGCUGCUCGUCCAGCCACGCCCUAUAGUUCCCCUGUUUUUGCGCUGCCUCCCCUGUCUCCCGGAGGUCGUUCACCGGCAUAAGCGGCCCCACGGCGAACACGGGCGGCAGAACGGAGAGCACGAAGCGACCCUGUAGUGCCUCGACGGCCUCCGGCUCCAUGGCGUGGAAGGCGUUGACCAGGAGGCCGUCGGCUGUCGCGAGCGCUCGGCCAUUCGCGACGAACUGCCGGGUGAAGAUGUUAUCGGGAUCAUGCAGCGCCUGUGGGACGGACGAACUUGGGAUGCGGUACACGCCGGGCACGUCAACGUCGCCAACGCCAUGUCCGGCACCGACGUCGUCAAGGUAGGUGGGAAAGUAGGCUUUGAAUGAGAGCAUCGUGGCCGACGCGGUGAAGAAGACGAAGCACGGGACGUGGAGCUCCCUGGCUACGGGUAUGGCCACGGAGGCCAGCGCCAUGUCCACGACGAGAGCGGACGCGCCUGCGCCAGCGAGGAGCGGGCCGAGGAGCGAGGGCGCGCAGCGGCGCAGGGCCUCGUAGCGGAGGUAGAAUGGAUCGGCGCCAGGGAAUUCGGACGACGCGUCGAAAGGGGCAAAGCGGAGGUCCAGCUGCCGGAUGGCGGGGAACGCAGCGUAGAGCGCGGCGAUGUGGCGGGACUCCGCGGACGAAACUGUGGGCAGCGCCGUCACGAGGGAGAUGUCGCAACCGUGGCCGGCGGAAAGCGCGACCGCGAGGCGGGUGAACGGGACCAGGUGGCCCAUGCCAGCGCUCGGGAAGAGGACGAUGCGCGGGGAGCUUCGUGAGCCGUGGCUGGACCUGGAGGGCGAUGAUGGUGCCGGCGAGGACAUGGUCGAACACCUGGGUUGUGUGGCCGAAGGGGUGGAGCUGGUACGUUGGUGUGGCUAGUAAAGUGUGAUUAGUGUUGGUGACUGAUGCGACUUUGCCAGUACUCCGUAUACCACCAACCAACUUCUUUAGUAUUUGGAUUUUGGACAGAUGCAUGACUUCCAAUGCAGUAGGGUUCUUCGGAAUGCGUGGCAAAUUUGAUCUCUACAAACAAAUUCGGUCACGCGCACAAUAAUUGAAGGGCAGCUAUAUUCUAUAUUCUAUGUAGUGAACUGUUACCACGUUGGGCACGCGUAGAACCAUUGCCACUCAAUUGGACAUUUAGGGGUGCCAAAGUUUAACAAUAUAUUUGUUGCUAAACUUUAGCAAUUAGAGAUUAAAUAGAAAUGCUGAAACAAGUUAAAAAUAAAGUGCUAAACUUUAGUAUUUAUUAGCGGUUUAGUUUCUUUAAGAUGUGCUAAAGGGAGAUAAAGUUAGUCCACGACAAGGAAAAUACAUUUCCUAUUUUUUACCCCACACUCUUUCUCCCACAUCGUAUUAAUUAAGGGUAUAGAUGUCUUUCUAUAUUCAUUUGCUAACUUUAGCACUUGCAUCGAAACACAGGUAGCUAAACAUUCGCUAUCCAAUUAGGAGUGCUAAAGUAGUGUAUGGGAUCCAAAGAGGCCUUUAAUACUCCCUUUGUCCCAAAAUAAAAUUUGUUUUACUGAUUCAUUCAAUAGUUAAUGUAUUUGUUUUACAUAUGUGUCUAGAUUCGUUAUCAUCCAUUUGAACAUAGACAUAAAAAUUAAGAGGUAAAACAACUAAUAUUUUGGAACGAAGGGAGUAUAUAACUAGUACAAUGUCUAGGUAUUGCAACAGCACCGAAAUCAUAUUUGAUGGUAUACUGCAAUGAUACAACACGUGAGGGUCCAGUGGCAAGCCAGUGUGAUGGACCAUUCCCACAAAAAAUAAAUUUAAAUUAAAGUAGCCCUCACCAAAAAAUAAAUUUAAUAUUAAAGUAGAUAUAUGCUCACAUACAAGAUAUUAAACUCUAGAUAUUGUAUUUUAUCUUAGCCAAAUGCUAAGAAAGAUACAAGUUAAAAAGGAGAACCGACCCUUUUUUAUAGCUAUCUCGGUCGUUCAUCUCCCUUCAACUAGCGAGGUGAUACUAUCCAGGAGCGUUGCGCUGCUUGCAGCUUCGUGUCGUGUUCGGAUUAGUUGUUUUCUCACGUCCUAUCUAGGAGGUAACAACCCACGUCACUUGACGCACGAUGAUGGUAGACCAUAGGUUAUGUCAGAAAGAAGCAUAAGGUAUUUCUUGUAAAAAGGAAAAUGGUGAAAAUCAGGAAACUCAUGCUUUAUAGAAGUAGAGAUAAAAAUACAGUUUUUGUACAUAUUUAACUUUUUAUACAUUAUAUAUAAAACUAUGUUUUGAUGAAGAGUUUCUCUAUAUAAAAGAAUAUUUUAUCAUCUAUAUGUUUUCUAUCUCAUCUAUGUAUCUAUUACAUUUUUCGUUAAUUAGUUUCAGUGUAACAUGCAAAAAAUAUUUUUUUAUCACUAUUCUUUAAUUGUAGUACCACAACAUUUUUUGUGUAUAGUUGGAACUAAUUUAUUGGCACCAAUCCGGACGUCAAUCACUGCGAUGAGUACCGACGGUGGUGCUCUCUACGGAGGCACGGACGGUCCGCGACCCGACACAAGAGCUAGGGUUUCUGCCUGACAAGCCAGACGGCCCACGCCUGGUGGUCGGACGGUCUGUGUAAGUUCGCCGACAACACCUAGAUCUCACUUCCGGGAGGGACUGAGAGCACCUAGAGGGGUUGAAUAGGUGAUCCUGUAAAAACUUGAAACUUAAACCCACAAACUUGAUUAAGUGUUAGCACAAUGAAAUCAAGUGGCUAAGGAGAGCUCUUGUGAAUCACAAAUGACAUAGUGAGAACAAGCACAAGAGACACAAGGAUUUAUCCCGUGGUUCGGCCAAGUACAAUACUUGCCUAGUCCACGUUGUGGCGUCCCAAUGGACGAGAGUUGCACUCAACUCCUUUCAAGUGAUCCAAUGAUCAACUUGAAUACCACGGUGUUCUUCUUUCUUUAUCUUUCCCGUUUGCGAGGAAUCUCCAUAACUUAGAGCCUCUCGCCCUUACAAUGAGAUGACCACAAAGAAGCACAUAUGUAAGAGUGGGAAGAGCAACACACACAAGCCUCAAAACACAAGCACAAACACGCACACAAGUCACAACUUGAGCUCUAAGAUCACACAUAGAGUUCUCAACUCAAGAGGAGCUCAAAUUGCUAUCACAACGAAUCAAAUGCGCUAGAGAGAUGUCUUGGUGCUAAGAGAUGACCAAAGAAUGCUUGGUGUUCUCCUUCAUGCGCCUAGGGGUCCCUUUUAUAGCCCCAAGGCAGCUAGAAGCCGUUCAGAGCAAUCUAGGAAGGCUAUCCUUGCCUUCUGUCGGGUGGUGCACCACCGGACAAUGUCCGGUGCAGAUUUCUUUCCUAUUCUGGCGCAGCCAACCGUUGACGAUUUAGAGCCGUUGGCGCACCGGACACAGUCCGGUGCACACCGGAUAGUCCGGUGCCCCCUUCAUACCGUUGGCCCGGCCAUGUGUCACGCGCGGAUUGCGCGGCCGACCGUUGGAUCACCGGACAGUCUGGUGCACCACCGGAAAGUCCGGUGAUUUUUAGCCGUACGCCGCCGACGAAAUCCCGAGAGCGGCCUUUUCACCAGAGCCAGCCUGGUGCACCGGACACUGUCCGGUGCACCACCGGACAGUCCGGUGCACCCAGACUGAACAGCAGUUGGCUGUACACAGCCAACUCUUUUCCUUUUGUCUUCUCUCUGAUUCUAGCACUUAGACAAAUAUGUUAGCAUAUAAAAACCAAUGUACUAAGUCUAGAAUCAUACCUUUGUGUUGAUUUGCACUUCAUUCACAACUUGGCACAAUUUAACACUUAAACCAUUUGUGUUGGCACUUAAUCACCAAAAUCCUUAGAAAUGGCCCAAGGGCACAUUUCCCUUUCAAUCUCCCCCUUUUUGGUGAUUUAUGCCAACACAACAAAAAGCAACAUAUAGAAGUGCAACAUCAAUGCAAAUGAGAACAAGAAUUUGUUUUGAUUCAAAUUUGGCAUAUUUGGAUCAUUCUUUGCCACCACUUGGUUUGUUUUUGCAAAUCAAACUCAAUUUCCUAUCUCUAAGUCAAAUUCAUUGUUGAGGCAUAGAGAAAGGUAUUCCAAGAGAAAUUGAUCAAAGAUUCAAAAACUCCCCCUUUUUCCCAUAGUCAAACAUUCUCCCCACAAGAGACCAACUUUUGACAAGAAGAGACAUCAAGAGGAUUUUGACAAAACAAAAACUCUAACUCUACGAUUUUCAAAUUUUUCAAAAUUCUCAAGUGGUAGCUGAUCCAUUUCUUGCUUUGGCCUUAUUUUCUCCCCCUUUGGCAUCAAGCAUCAAAACGGGAUCAAUCUUGGCCCUUAAACCCCAUUACCUCACCAAAAUCUUCAACUUAGAGUAAAGAGGCAAUAAGACCAUGAAAAUGAACUUGGAGUUAGUUACCCUCUCAUCGGAGUGCAGUGGAAGUCUUUCAUGGUCCAAGUCCAUAUUUCCCUUUCAAUCCACCUUUGAGACUAAGUCAAGCAAGCUCAAACACAUGGUUAGUCUCAAAGGGCCAAGUUGUAGCACAUCUCCCCCUAAAUAUGUGCAUCACUUGCAAAUGGACUUGUGAGGUCCGGGGAGUGCUUGUACAACUUGAGCACCAUAAAUAAACAACAAAAUGCAUAAGGAACAUGAUCAAAGGCAUAAAACACAUGUAUGCUAUAAAUCAAUCCAAGUUCCGUGAAUCUAAGACAUUUAGCUCACUACGCAGCCUGCAAAAGGUUGACUCAUCUAGAGGCUUGGUAAAGAUAUCGGCUAGCUGGUUCUCGGUGCUAACAUAAAACACUUCGAUAUCUCCCUUUUGCUGGUGGUCUCUCAAAAAGUGAUGCCGGAUGUCUAUGUGCUUUGUGCGGCUGUGUUCAACAGGAUUAUCCGCCAUGCGGAUAGCACUCUCAUUAUCACAUAGGAGUGGGACUUUGCUCAGAUUGUAGCCAAAGUCCCAGAGGGUUUGCCUCAUCCAAAGUAGUUGCGCUCAACACUGUCCUACGGCAACAUACUCGGCCUCAGCGGUGGAUAGGGCAACGGAAGUUUGUUUCUUAGAACUCCAAGACACCAGGGACCUUCCUAAGAAUUGGCACGUCCCUGAUGUACUCUUCCUAUCAACCUUACAUCCAGCAUAAUUGGAGUCUGAAUAUCCAAUUAAGUCAAAGGUAGACCCCUUUGGAUACCAGAUCCCGAAGCAAGGCGUAGCGACUAAAUAUCUAAGAAUUCGCUUCACGGCCACUAAGUGACACUCCCUUGGAUCGGAUUGAAAUCUAGCACACAUGCAUACACUAAGCAUAAUAUCCGGUCUACUAGCACAUAAGUAAAGCAAGGAACCUAUCAUAGACCGGUAUGCUUUUUGAUCAACGGACUUACCUCCUUUGUUGAGGUCGACGUGUCCGUCAGUUCCCAUUGGAGUCUUUGCGGGCUUGGCGUCCUUCAUACCAAACUGCUUGAUCAAGUCUUGUGUGUACUUCGUUUGGGAGAUGAAAGUGUCGUCCUUGAGUUGCUUCACUUGGAACCCAAGGAAGUAGUUCAACUCGCCCAUCAUCGACAUUUCAAACUUUUGAGUCAUCACCCUGCUAAACUCUUCACAAGACUUUUGGUUAGUAGAACCAAAUAUUAUGUCAUCGACAUAAAUUUGGCACACAAAUAAGUCACCAUCACAAGUCUUAGUGAAUAAAGUUGGAUCGGCUUUCCCAACCUUGAAGGCAUUAGCAAUUAAAAAGUCUCUAAGGCAUUCAUACCAUGCUCUUGGGGCUUGCUUAAGUCCAUAGAGCGCCUUAGAGAGCUUACACACGUGGUCGGGGUACCGUUCAUCCUCAAAGCCAGGGGGUUGCUGUACGUACACCUCCUCCUUGAUUGGCCCAUUGAGGAAAGCGCUCUUCACAUCCAUUUGGAACAACCUGAAAGAAUGGUGAGUGACAUAGGCUAACAAUAUGCAAAUUGACUCUAGCCUAGCCACAGGAGCAAAAGUCUCCUCAAAGUCCAAACCUGCGACUUGGGCAUAACCUUUUGCCACAAGUCGUGCCUUGUUCCUUGUCACCACCCCAUGCUCGUCCUGUUUGUUGCGGAACACCCACUUGGUUCCCACAACGUUUUGCUUGGGACGUGGCACCAGUGUCCAAACUUCAUUUCUCUUGAAAUUGUUGAGCUCUUCCUGCAUGGCCAACACCCAGUCCGGAUCUAGCAAGGCCUCUUCUACCCUGAAAGGCUCAAUAGAAGAGACAAAAGAGUAAUGCUCACAAAAAUUAACUAAUCUAGAGCGAGUAGUUACUCCCUUGCUAAUAUCACCCAAUAUCUGGUCGACGGGAUGAUUCCUUUGAAUCGUCGCUCGAACUUGAGUUGGAGGGGCAUGUUGUGAUUCUUCCUCCAUAGCAUGAUUAUCUUGUGCUCCCCCUUGAUCAUACGCCUCUUCUUGAUGAACCUGUUCAUCGUCUUGAGUUGGGGGUUGCACCAUUGUUGAGGAAGAAGGUUGAUCUUGCUCCUUUUGUUCCUGUGGCCGCACAUCUCCAAUUGCCAUGGUGCGUAUUGCGGUUGUUGGAACGUCUUCUUCAUCUGCAUCAUCAAAAUCAACAACUUGCUCUCUUGGAGAGCCAUUAGUCUCAUCAAAUACAACGUCGCUAGAGACUUCAACCAAACCCGAUGAUUUGUUGAAGACCCUAUACGCCUUUGUAUUUGAGUCAUAACCUAACAAAAACCCUUCUACAGCUUUGGGAGCAAACUUAGAAUUUCUACCUUUCUUCACUAGAAUAUAACAUUUGCUCCCAAAAACACGAAAGUAUGACACAUUGGGUUUGUUACCGGUUAGGAGUUCAUACGCCGUCUUCUUGAGGAGGCGAUGAAGGUAGACCCGGUUUAUGGCGUGACAAGCCGUGUUCACGGCUUCCGACCAAAACCGCCGGGGGUCUUGAACUCUCCAAGCAUCGUCCUCGCCAUGUCAAUGAGAGUCCUGUUCUUCCUCUCUACCACACCAUUUUGCUGUGGCGUGUAGGGAGCGGAGAACUCGUGCUUGAUUCCUUCCUCCUCAAGGUACUCCUCCACUUGAAGGUUCUUGAACUCGGACCCGUUGUCGCUUCUUAUCUUCUUCACCUUGAGCUCAAACUCAUUUUGAGCUCUCCUUAGGAAGCGUUUGAGGGUCCCUUGGGUUUCUGUUUUAUCCUGCAAAAAGAAUACCCAAGUGAAGCGGGAAAAAUCAUCAACUAUAACAAGACCAUACUUAUUUCCUCCUAUGCUUAGGUAGGCGACGAGUCCGAAGAGAUCCAUAUGAAGUAACUCCAGAGGUCUUGAUGUGGUCAUUACAUUCUUGCUGUGAUGAGCACUUCCCACCUGUUUACCUACUUGACAAGCUGCACAAGGUCUAUCUUUUUCGAAAGUAACAUUUGUUAGACCUAACACAUGUUCUCCCUUUAGAAGUUUGUGAAGGUUCUUCAUCCCCACAUGUGCUAGACGGCGAUGCCACAGCCAGCCCAUGCUAGUCUUAGCAAUUAAACAUGCAUCUAGACUGGCCUCCUCCUUUGCAAAGUCAACUAAGUAGAGCUUGUCGUCUAGUACACCCUUAAAAGCUAGUGAACCAUCACUCCUCCUAAAGACAGACACAUCUACAUUUGUAAAUAAGCAAUUAUACCCCAUAUUACAUAAUUGACUAACGGACAACAAGUUAUAUCCGAGCGAUUCUACUAAAAACACAUUAGAAAUGGAUUGCUCGGAUGAAAUUGCUAUUUUUCCUAGUCCUUUAACCUUGCCUUGGUUCCGAUCACCGAAUAUGAUUGAAUCUUGGGAAUAUUUGUUCUUGACGUAAGAGGUGAACAUCUUCUUCUCCCCCGUCAUGUGGUUUGUGCAUCCGCUGUCGAUAAUCCAGCUUGAGCCCCCGGAUGCAUAAACCUGCAAGGCAAAUUAGGCUUGGGUUUUAGGUACCCAACUCUUGUUGGGUCCUAUGAGGUUAGUAACAAUAGCCUUAGGGACCCAAAUGCAAGUUUUAUCUCCUUUGCACUUUGGCCCUAAUUUCCUAGCAAUCACUUUCUUAUCCUUUCUACAAAUUGCAAAGGAAGCAUUGCAAGCAUGAUAAAUUGUAGAAGGUUCACUACUUGCUUUUCUAGGUACAUGAACAACAUUUCUCCUAGGCAUAUGAUGAAUAACAUUUUUCCUAGGCAUAUCAUGCACAAUAGAAGAACUAGAAGCAGGCAUAGCAUAAGAAUAAUAAGAAUAAUUCCUAUAAGCAUUUCUAGAGAAUUUUCUAUCACUAUAAAUGAAAGCAUGAUUCUUUUGAACACUAUUAGCCAUAGGGGCCUUCCCUUUCUCCUUGGCGGAGAUGGGAGCCUUAUGACUUGUUAGGUUCUUAGCUUCCCUCUUAAAGCCAAGCCCAUCCUUAAUUGAGGGGUGUCUACCAAUAGUGUAGGCAUCCCUUGCAAAUUUUAGUUUAUCAAAUUCAUUUUUGCUAGUCUUGAGUUGGGCAUUAAGACUAGCCACUUCACCAUUUAGUUUUGAAAUAGAAGUAAGGUGCUCAACACAUGCAUCAACAUUAAAGUCCUUACACCUAUUGCAAAUCACUACAUGUUCUACACAAGAACUAGAUCUAUUUGCUACUUCUAGCUUAGCAUUUAAAUCAUCAUUAACACUUUUUAAACUAGAAAUAGUCUCAUGGCAAGUAGAUAAUUCACAAGAAAGCAUUUCAUUCCUUUUAACUUCUAAAGCAAGAGAUUUUUGGACAUCUACAAAUUUAUCAUGCUCUUCGUACAAAAGAUCCUCUUGCUUUUCUAACAAUCUAUUCUUGUCAUUCAAAGCAUCAAUUAAUUCAUUGAUUUUAUCAAUUUUAGUUCUAUCUAAACCUUUGAAUAAACUAGCAUAGUCUAUUUCAUCAUCGCUAGAUUCAUCAUCACUUGAAGAAGCAUAUGUAAUAGUAUCCCUAGUGCAUACCUUCUUUUCCUUUGCCAUGAGGCAGGUGUGAUGCUCGUUGGGGAAGAGGGAUGAUUUGUUGAAGGCCGAGGCGGCAAGUCCUUCGUCGUCGGAUGAAGAGCAAUUCGAGUCCCACUCUUUGCCAAGGUGUGCCUCGCCCUUCGCUUUCUUGUAAGUCUUCUUCUUUUCCCUCUUCUUUUCCUGAUCCUGGUCACUAUCAUUAUCAGGACAGUUAGCAAUAAAGUGACCAACCUUACCACACUUGAAGCAGAAGCGCUUCCCCUUCGUCUUGCUCUUGUUGGGAUGCUCCUUGCGACCUUUGAGCGCCGUCUUGAAGCGCUUGAUGAUGAGGGCCAUUUCAUCUUCAUUUAGCCCGGCCGCCUCAACUUGCGCCACCUUGCUAGAUAGCGCCUCCCUGCUACUUGUUGCUUUUAGAGCAAUGGUUUGAGGCUCGUGGAUUGGGCCAUUUAACGCCUCAUCAACAUAUCUCGCCUCCUUGAUCAUCAUUCGCCUGCUUACGAACUUUCCAAGUAUCUCCUCAGGCGUCAUCUUGUUGUACCUAGGGUUUUCACGAAUAGAGUUUACAAGAUGCGGAUCAAGGAUGGUGAAGGACCUUAGCAUAAGCCUGACGACGUCGUGGUCCGUCCAUCUCGUGCUUCCAUAGCUCCUUAUUUUGUUGACCAGGGUCUUGAGCCUGUUGUAAGUUUGAGUUGGCUCCUCCCCCCUGAUCAUCAUGAACCUUCCUAGUUCGCCUUCCACCAACUCCAUCUUGGUGAGCAUGGUGAUGUCGUUCCCCUCAUGCGAGAUCUUGAGGGUGUCCCAAAUCUGCUUGGCGUUAUCCAAGCCGCUCACCUUAUGAUAUUCUUCCCUGCACAAUGAUGCUAACAAAACAGUAGUAGCUUGUGCAUUUUUGUGAAUUUGUUCAUUGAUAAAUAUGGGACUAUCCGUACUAUCAAAUUGCAUCCCAUUUUCUACUAUCUCCCAUAUACUUGGAUGGAGAGAGAACAAGUGACUACGCAUUUUGUGACUCCAAAAUCCGUAGUCCUCUCCAUCAAAGUGAGGAGGUUUACCAAGUGGAAUGGAAAGCAAAUGAGCAUUGGAACUUUGCGGAAUACGAAAAUAAUCGAAAGAAAAGUUCGAGUUAACUGUUUUCUUUUUCUCCUCGUAUUCGUCGUCCUUUUGGGAAGAGGAAGACUCGCCGCUGUCGUAGUAGACUAUCUUCUUGAUCCUCCUCUUCUUCUUCCCGUCCUUCUUCUUUUGACUCGAGCCAGAGUCAGUGGCUUUGUCGUCCCUCGGCUCGUUGAAGAUGGACUCCUUCUCCUUAUCGUUGACCACCAUCCCCUUUCCCUUAGGAUCCAUCUCUUCAGGCGAUUAGUCCCUUUUGUGAAGAGAACGGCUCCGAUACCAAUUGAGAGCACCUAGAGGGGGGUGAAUAGGUGAUCCUGUAAAAACUUGAAACUUAAACCCACAAACUUGAUUAAGUGUUAGCACAAUGAAAUCAAGUGGCUAAGGAGAGCUCUUGUGAAUCACAAAUGACACAGUGAGAACAAGCACAAGAGACACAAGGAUUUAUCCCGUGGUUCGGCCAAGUACAAUACUUGCCUAGUCCACGUUGUGGCGUCCCAAUGGACGAGAGUUUCACUCAACUCCUUUCAAGUGAUCCAAUGAUCAACUUGAAUACCACGGUGUUCUUCUUUCUUUACUCUUUCCCGUUUGCGAGGAAUCUCCACAACUUGGAGCCUCUCGCCCUUACAAUGAGAUGAUCACAAAGAAGCACAUAUGUAAGAGUGGGAAGAGCAACACACACAAGCCUCAAAACACAAGCACAAACAUGCACACAAGUCACAACUUGAGCUCUAAUAUCACACACAGAGUUCUCAACUCAAGAGGAGCUCAACAUGCUAUCACAACGAAUCAAAUGCGCUAGAGAGAUGUCUUGGUGCUAAGAGAUGAUCAAAGAAUUCUUGGUGUUCUCCUUCAUGUGCCUAGGGGUCCCUUUUAUAGCCCCAAGGCAGCUAGGAGCCGUUGAGAGCAAUCCAGGAAGGCUAUCCUUGCCUUCUGUCGGGUGGUGCACUGGACAGUCCGGUGCAGAUUUCUUUCCUAUUCUGGCGCAGCCGACCGUUGACAAUUUGAGCCGUUGGCGCACCAGACACUGUCCGGUGCACACUGGACAGUCCGGUGCCCCCUUCAGACCGUUGGCCCGGCCACGCGUCACGCGCGGAUUGCGCGGCCGACCGUUGGCCCAGCCGACCGUUGGAUCACCGGACAGUCCGGUGCACCACCGGACAGUCCGGUGAUUUUUAGCCAUACGCCGCCGAUGAAAUCCCCAGAGCGGCCUUUUCACCAGAGCCAGCCUGGCGCACCGGACACUAUUCGGUGCACCACCGGACACUGUCCGGUGCACCACCGGACAGUCCGGUGCACCCAGACUGAACAGCAGUUGGCUGUACACAUCCAACUCUUUUUACUUUUGUCUUUUCUUGGAUUCUAGCACUUAGACAAAUAUGUUAGCACAUAAAAACCAAUGUACUAAGUCUAGAAUCAUACCUUUGUGUUGAUUUGCACUUCAUUCUCAACUUGGCACAGUUUAACACUUAAACCAUUUGUGUUGGCACUUAAUCACCAAAAUCCUUAGAAAUGGCCCAAGGGCACAUUUCCCUUUCAGGGACCCCAUCGGGGAGGAUAGAUACUAUGGUUUGCCAUGGGAUCGGCAGACCACCUAAGACGCCUCUAAACGAGAUAGAGCCGAAGAGAGGUGAAGAUUAGAGAGAAGAAACUAUGUUACUAUCUACUCCUAGGAAAAAAUGUAAAGAACUAAAGAUAUAUUGAUUGAUUGAUCGAUUGUUGGUUGUUUAAUCGAUCGUACCCCUUCAAAUAUAUAAGGGGGGAGGUCUAAACCCGUUCCUAGGCAUUCUCCAACAACUCCCACGAGAUUAGGGGGCUAAACACGCAAGAAAAUAGGAGUUUUAACCGCUUGAUUCGAUCUAUUCGCGGACCGUCCGGGCCUCAGGUCCGGACUGUCCACCAUGCCCAGUGACACAAAUGGUGCUCAACACAUGCCCCUUCUUUUUGGAGAAGCUGAGCAAACCAAAAGCACUGAAAUAGGCUAGAACCAACUCGUUGUGAUCACAUCGGUUCUCUUAAGCAUCUUGCAACAUACUAGGAUGGUAUUGCUUUAGAAAACGCUAGUUUAGUGCCUUGGCCAAGUCUUCGCCUUCUUGUUGUAUGAUUUGGCGACCAUGAUCUUGUCCUUCUCUAUUUCUCCUAAAGCUAUCACUCUUUUGUCGGUCACUUCAUCAAUAUUGUCCAUCAUUGAGUUAUAAUAAUCACCGACAGUCAGAUCAUUUUGUCUGGUGCUCCUGACAGCAUUUAGGCUUACCUCUAUAGGCAACACUGCUUCCUGCCAUAAACAAGCUCAAACUUAGAUACUUUAGUAGCACGGUGUUUAGACAUUCUAUGAGCCCAUGAAGCUUCAUACUAGACCUUAGUCCAAUGCUUAGGAUGAUCGGAUAUCUUCCUUUUUACCAGGCUAAUCAAUGUCCUAUUGCUAGACUCGGUCUGUCCAUUGGCCUGAGCAUAAUAUGGAGAUGAAUUGAGCAAUUUAAUUCUAUAUGAUUCAGCAAACUCACGUAUCUCCUUUGACAUAAAAGAAGUCCCCUGGUCUGUGGUCAAAGUCUGAGAAAUGCCAAAUCUAUGAAUAAUAUGCUCAGUUAUAAACUCAAUUACCUCUAUGUGUGUCAUGUUCUUUAGAGCAACGGCUUCAGUCUAUUUGGUUAAGUAGUAUGUGGCGACAAACCCAAACCGAUGCCCUUUUGAUGAUGAAGGAUGUAUCUCUCUUAUAAACUCCAAUCCCCAUCCCUGAUAGGCCAAUGUUUGAUGAUAGGAUGUAAUUCGGCUGUAGGGGCCAACUAUAAGUCGCCGAAUUUCUGACACACUUGGCAUCCUUUGUAUUAGUUGAAACAAUUAGUUAUCAUGUUAGACCAAUAGAAGCCAGAUCUUCGCAAUAACCACUUCAUCUUCGGAGCUGAUGGAUGAGUCCCACAAAUCCCCUCAUAUACUUCAGCCAUGGCUAAUAUAGCGUAACCUGGGCCCAAGCAUUUAAGCAGGAUAUCGUUGACAGUUUGACGGUAGAGUUCAUCACUCAUUAAAACAUACUUGAAUGUUGUACACCGAACGUUCAUGUCCGUCCUAACACUGGGAUUUUGUAGGUAGUUGUUGGGGACUUGUUGUCAAAUGCUAUGAGUCAAGAACAAGACAACACAGAUAAUGUUAAACGUUAAAGUCCUUCGUCCUUCGAAGCAUUAUAUCCCCUUGAGAGAUAAUGAUUUUCGGACGAAGGUUGUGAAGGACGUACCUUCGUCAAAGCAACAUAUAAACGAGGAAAGAAACAUAUGGGAUAUAAAAGACAAUACCAACAGUUAUUUAUUACCAACAACUCAUUUCUACUUUAUUAUUAAGGAAAAAUAGAAAUAAUAACAAGUUACAAAAAGUACCUUUGGCUUGAAAGAAGGUAAAAGUACAAGCGUGACGCAAAAGCAAAUGCCCAGUCAGCGUGAACAGUACUGGAGCACUAUUCAUCUAUUUAUAGGCACGGGACGCAGCCCAUGUAAAAUUACACCCAUGGCCUUUACAUUUGCUAAUAACUCUAUAAUAGUCCAUCGGGGUCUAAAUAGCCUUUUCCCUUUUAAGUCGGUUCCCUUUCCUGUUAUCACGCCGAAGCUCCCCUGCGCAUAGCUUCGGCUCUGCGCCAUCCUUCGUAUUCUUUGUGCUUCUUCACACUGUAGUUUUGACCUAAGUCCAAAGGUACCUGUUCAUGUAUCAUACUCCAGAAACAUUGUUAAAUUAUAUUUUUGAGGACCUUCGGAAGCCGAAGGCCCCCAACAGUAGCCCCUCGCAAUAUUAAUUUGUUAGAAUGAUAAAUUCAGAUUGCGAUAUGGACGAAGGCCUUAAGCCGAAGGUCCGAAAAAACACCUUUCCUUUGCUAGAAUAGCAUCAGCCAAUGACAAGCGGGGCCCUCCCACUUGCAACACACUGGGCGUAUAAAUAAGAGCACACCGCGAGCACAUCUAGCACACUUUCUUGCCAUCUGCUCUUGCUUACUCAACUCUUAGCUCUUUUGCGCACCGACACUUGUUUGGCUUUUUAGGUUUUUUUAAGCUUCGGCUUUGAGAGCAGUUUUUUAGCAUUUCUGAAGAUGUCUGAAGAUAAAAAAGCUGUUGCUGAAAUGAAGCUGAGCCUUUCCGAGGAGAAGAAUCUUGGCUUUCUUGAGUCAAUAGCAAAGACGAAUAUGGAGAAGAUUACAAGGGAGAUUUUAGAAGGUUUAUCUGAAGAUACUGGUGAUAGUGACAGUUAUGAUGUGGAAAGCGGCGGGGAAGACUCCGAAGAUCGACCCUGGCGACCAAGCCAUGCAGUUUUUGGAAAAUCAACUAUUAAACAGAGCCAUCUUGACAAUAUGAGGGGGAGAUAUUUUCGGGAUAUGUCUAUUGUGAGAGCUGACAACGGAGAGAAAACUUGUCCUACUCCCGAAAAAAAUGAAGUCGUGAUCUUCCGAAGCUUUUUGAAGGCUGGGCUUCGGUUCCCUCUAAGCAGUUUCGUGGUUGAGGUUUUGAAGAUAUUCCAGAUUUUUCUUCACCAGAUUACUCCCGAAGCCAUUAUAAGGAUGGGAGUCUUCGUGUGGGCUGUGAGAAGUCAGGGCUUGGAGCCAGAUGCUAAAAGUUUCUGUAGCAUGCACGAACUUUUGUAUGAGACGAAGCCCUGGGGUAAAGAGCAGUAUCACAACAACUUUGGCUGCUAUGGCUUCGUUGCCCGCUGUGGGUCAAGCUGCCCUGUGCUGACCUUCCGGAAGCGAUGGCCCGGGGAUUGGAUGAAGGAAUGGUUCUAUGUGAAAAAUGAUUUAAAGGCACGAGAGGAUAUUAAGGAGAUUAUCAUGCGCCCUAUCUGGCAACGCUUUGGCCUCCGGAAGCCGAAGGUGGAAAUUGAUAAAGCAGCUGAAGAAUGCUGAAAGGCCUUCGGCAUAGUUUGCUCCUUCAUCGGGACAAGGGACUUAGUUCAAGAGCAUGUGGCCUACAGGAUAUGGCCAUUGGUAGCCAACUGGGAGAUGCCAAAGGAAACCAUCAACAACCCCCACGAAGGUGGUUUGGUUCGACUAAAAUACACCUUCAGAUUUGGAGACUAGUUUGACGAACCAGACGAUGAUUGGCUGAAGAGUGUCGAAGCUACAAGUGAUGAACUGCUUGGGCCGUACUCGAAAACAGAAGAUAAUGCACUAUCAGCGGCCUUCGGAAGCCGGAAAAAGAAGAGGCUCAACAGAGUUUUCAAUGCUAUUGGGUUCAUGUAUCCUGACUACCGCUACCCGUUACGGGGGCAAAAAAGAAAAGGUGCAACUUCCGGUAAAGAUGAUGCUUCAGCUGCUCCAAGCGAGCCUGCGCCGAAGAGGAAAAAGGUGAAGGUCCUUACUCACCGACCGUGCUUUAUUGAACCGGCCAUAGUGCUCGAGUUUGUCGGUGAGACCUCUUCGGCUACUGAAGCCAAAGAACCUGCGCUUGCGCAGAAAACUAAAGAGCUGACUGCAACGCCGAAGGUUGAAAAAUUGAAGAACCGAGAGCUGAAGGGACAAUAACAUCAGAAAUUUUAAGUCCUAUGGCAGGAGUUGAAGUGCCAAAAACCCAAAAAGGUCUAGCAGUGACCCCCAAAAGAAAAAUGAUGGUUAAUGUUCUAGAUGUACUGGAGACAAUAAAGUCCUCAAGCUCUACUCCGAGGAAAAUUGCCGAAGCUCCAAAAACGCAAAUUGAGACAACAACCUCUGAAGCCGAAGCUACACAGCGCCAGGCUGAGACCGAAGCUGGGCCUUCAGAGCCCGCCAAGGAGAAAUCCUUGGAAACCAGAGAAAAAGAAACAGAAGCGGUAGAGCAAAUUUUGGCUGAAAAAACUGCCACUGCCGCCUCCGUAGCAUUUUCCGAAGCUCUCAAUUAUAUUUUACGACAUGCUUCAGGGAAAAAGUUGACUGAAAAAGAAAAGCGAGAAGCUCAGUUCUAUGCCCAAAAAUUGAAAUAUCCGAAGGGGGCAUUGAUUUUCAACGGCAGCAGAGAAUAAGACUUCUUGUAUUGUCUCCCAGACAGCAAGGAGAUUUCUGUCUGCCGGGAGAUGAGCAAAAGCUUCGGAUUCCCGACACUAGAGGACGGGCUCUCGGUGCUAUCAAAAGAUGAAUUAGCCGACAGCUUAGCAUACAAUAGCUUAAAGGUGAGAAAAUGAAUUUUACUGAAAAGCAAUUUUUUUCCAUUUGCUUAUACUUAAUACCAUAUUCCUUUUUCAGGGCCUUAUUCUUAGCAACGCCCUCAGGGCACAAAAAAGCGCUGAAGAUGAGGGAUGUACCAUGGCCUCCCCCUAACAAACAUUAGUUAAAAAUGGGUAGCAAGAAAUGAGUUGGAAUAGAUAAAUCUAAGUUGAUCCACCUCCUUUAAAACUUAAGCACACUUAUCUCCUUACUGCUACCUUAACACUUACAUUUAACCCUCUUUCACUGAUGUCUUCAUCCACCCCCGCCAAUGGAGGAGACACCCGCUUCAGCUUUGACUACCUUUCCCAUGAGGGCUUUCCCUCUAUCUUGUGGGAGGUUCUCUGCUCCGCUGGAUACCCCACAUCCCCUCUGUACAUGGUGCAGCUAUAUGAGGAGCAUCGGGUGCCACGUUGCAGGGUUUGGCUGACCCUGGAGUCUCACCCCUGUAGCCUAGGUGGCGUUCCCUUGAUUACGAGACUGUCGGGUUCAGGGCGGACGACACCACUGAGGCCACAGCGCUAAAGGCCUUGACGACCUUCUAUGGAUUUCAUCCCCUGGAGAUGAUGAUGCACCCACUUGGACUCUUCCCCGCCGAGAAGAGGGAUGACCCAAUGUGGUGCAACAGAGUGAGUCACGUGAAGGAUGUGUGGGCCAUGCAUCCUCACCAGGUUGGGAGGAUCACCGUCCAGUGCAUGAGUGCACUGUACCGCCUGCAUGCCUUGUAGAGCGAUGCCAUGGCACACCUCAUUGGGCUCGCUCAGGCUACAAAUCACCCUCGACAAUUGGGAGGACUUCAUAGUUGACUUGUCUUCGGAAUUGGUGGAGAAAGAUCUACAGGUGGAACAGAUGAACCAGCGCAUCCUGACUUUAGAGCAGCAGGUGGAGAUCCGAGAUAACACCAUCGAUAUCCUGGAGAUCCAGCUCCACGAUGUGCAGGAAGAGCUUACGGAGGCCAACGAUCACCUGGAAAUGCACCACCAAGACAUGGAAGCUAAUGAGGCAGGCAGCGAGGCAGAGGAGGAUCUUGAGGAAAUAGAGCCAGCUUCCGGACCGAAUGCGGCUUCCUCUGGAGUGCCGCCUUCACCUGCAUCCAGCGUUGCCUCUACCAAUCAUGGUUAGACGAGUUAGUUUUAACAUGUUAGGAGGACAGGAAACCACAUAAGCUUAGUUUUGGUACCAACUUUUGGACUAGGCUUUAGGAUGGAUCCCCUAAUAUGCUGUAACCCAUAAAUACUUUUAUGAAUGAUGCAAUGAAUGAAUGUUAUCCUCGUUUGGUUUGAUAUAAUGUUAUGUCAUUUUUCUCGUGAUAUAAAGUCUCUGUUUGGAACCAUGAAUCGAGGUAACAACGACGGAAUUCCUGUUUCUAGAUGGCAGCUAGACCUCGUCGCGGGAAGAACGAGCAGGUUCCCCCGCCACCUCCUCCAGCUCCCACGAUUUUCAGGAGCUAAUGGCUCAGCAAAAUGAGAUCCUGCGGCAGCUGGUGCAGCGUUAGCCCUAUCCUUAGUAGUAUGGUGGAGGCCAACAACAAUGCCCACCGGCUGUGGCGACAUAUCAGAAGUUCAUGAGCACCCAACUGCUGCUGUUCACCAAGGCAGAGGACCCGCUAGACGCCGAUGUGUGGCUCAGGGUUGUGGAGUCCAAGUUCCCACUCCUCACAGGAGCUGCCCUGAUGCCGCGAAGACUCGCUUAAUGUUUGUAGGUUUAUAAUGUGCACUUAAUUGUAGGAGUUGCUUGAAACCCUAGUUGCAUGAACUCAGGAUUCCAUUUUGAGAUGGAUACUAGUAUGCUAGGUCGAGUAGCUGCUUUGCUAAUUAGGGAUCUUGGUAGAAGUCGAGUGAUUUUUCUAGCACUCGCGCGAGGUCAGGAAUUUGUUGAAUUCAUCUUGAUAACGGGAUCUAUGAUGGUCUAUGGACUUGGAUCUAGGGUGGAUGCCUUGUCUGUGAGACAGGAAUGGAAUUAAAGAUUAAUGUGCGGAUACUUGAGUCAAGCAUUUGAAAGUACUAAACACAUGUCGGGAAAUAUGGUAACCGGUAAACCUAGUACCUGAGUGAAGCCGGGCGUGGACUUUCCCCCUCACUUGUCCUGAGACGAGGUAUCCCAUGCUAGCUAUGUUGGGUGCAAAUGCAGCCACUACACGGCGGCAGCCGGAGUCAGUGGGGCAUUGCAUGCCAAGGCGGUGAGCCCUGGCCAUGAACGGGGAAUCGAUGGGGACGGUUGAUGCGUGAGGGGACGGAGUGCCCCUACAUGUCGUGUGUUUAGGUUUACCUUGCAAGGUUAAAACUCGAUUUGAAUCGUCUGCUUCUCGCAGCUAUUGAGACUGCUUAACCCCUUUUACUGCAUCGAGUAAAAAGUGAAAUGAGGUUUCUUGAGAUAACAUGUUGGUUGCAUUAAAUGAUUGUUACCAUGUAUGCUUAGAGAGGAGCAAACCUAGCUUAAUUAAAUAUGCUAGAACUGGAAAAGCUAAAACUGUUUUUAGACUUAGCUAGUGCUUUUGGCAAAUCAAACCCCUUAGCCAAACAACUUCAUGGUCUAGAGAUAGAGGAGUAGACUCCUCACACCGGGUAAGUCUAGCUGAGUAUUAGUAUACUCAGCCUUGCUUGUGGCAUAUUUUUACAUGUACACUAUAGGACAUGGUUGAUGGUGUGACCUGGUCUUCGACCCUGCCACCGGGUUGGACGGUCGAGUGGGAUGCCGCCUCGGCUGGAGAGGACCAUGAGGAGUAGUGGGCGAGGCCUUGCCCUAUUCCUUAGUAUCAUCGUUAUCGAUUAUCCGCUGCAUUAUUAAGAACUUGUUAUCUUUUAUCAAACUCCGAUUUAUAUAAUAACUCUAGUACUUUAACUUGUGGUUUCAUGUUUAUUGUAUUCUCUCUGAGCCUCACCAUCGUGUGAGCUAAUGGUAUUCGAUCAUUGGUAAGUGGCUCUAUCGGACGAGAUCCGAAGAACUAAACGGUUUAUUCCGGUUUAAGUGUGUUGCUGCCUUUAAGGGUACGACUUUGGCACUUAAGAUGGAAUAACUCAGGUGGUUUUGCCACACCGAGUCAAGCCGACUUAUAUGUCCACAUAUCCUGCUCACCAUAUCCCACAAAACCAGCUUCUAGAUUGGCCACGAGACCAUCUAUCUAUUGACGAACUUUGGCACCAGUCAUCAUUGCAGGUAGGCAGUCUAUCACUACGACACCUUUCAUGAAGUUCUUGAUGUCUAGUCAUAAUGGAUGGUUGUCACACCCAGAUUCGGGGAUCCAAACCCGGGCACGAAAUCAAAUGUGUGCUAGGAUCAAGUCUCACACAUAUGAGACUCAUGGUACAGAAAAUAAUGUCACAUCAUUAAUAUAUAACAGAGUUCUGUACAAAAUACAUAAAUAAUUACAUCAUACGAAGACAACGUUCCAGCAACCAUAGUUGACUGGGAGGCGACGACCUAGACCGCUCACGAACCCAUCACAACAUCCUUCAUGCGCCUCAUCCUGUGGUACCUGUCCUUGACCUGGGGGGAUGUGAGUACAACAAGAGUGAGCUCACAUACGUUCAUCGCUCAACAAGUUGUGGGGGAUGAUGUGCAUGAGCUCACUUAUAGUGGGGCUCAUGUGAAGUGUAAGGCUUACCAAAGGAGAUGGUUAAAGCUAAGCAUUGCUUUUAAAGUUGGUCAAAAUUUUAUUAGCACUUACUAAGUAUAAGUGAAUACCAACCUAAUUAAAUAAGCGAUCACAAUUGAUAAUAACACCCACAAUGCAAUGCAAAUGACAAAUUAAGUUUAAUUCCAUAAUUUAAUCAUGUGAGUGUCUGAGCCGCUCAUGAUCGUGAGCAAGGCUGAUAUACUAGUUUUACACUCCACAGAGGUUACGCAUCUUUACCCAUAAGUCAUGUUACCCAUUUGCCAUGGGGUUGUACGAACCCCAUACACCUUUACCAAGGAAGCGAAGCAGGGUAGCACUACGAGGCCUUUCCAAAGUUCCACUAGUUCGAGAAUACCCGCUACUGUUUUAGGAAGAAGGAAGCAUAGGAAUCCCUCGUCUGAACUGCCAUCGCAGCAGUUCGACCCGAGAACCUCCCUAUACUCUGCAGCGACGCCUCCCGGCUUGCCCCUUUCGGGUAAGGUAAUCUCUCCCUAGCUUCCCUAAUUACUUGGCCAAGGGCGUCCAAUUCCACCCUUGUGGUACAACUGUUUUCCUGGGUGGUUCUCCAUGUUCCAAUUAAGAUGAUGAUCUUAUCAUGAACAAUAAUUAAAACAACAACAUAAUUGGAACAUGAUCAUAAUAUAACAUUAAUUUCCCAAAACCAGGUAGAGCAAUACCAAGGGCAUGUUUGGUUCACUACCUCAGUUGCCACAAUUUGCCUAACUUUUCUACCUAAGGUUAGUUAUUCAAUUCGAACGACUAACCUUAGGCAAAGUGUGGCACAUUUAGCCACAAACCAAACAUGCCCCAAAUCUACCCAAUAGUUCAUCUGUUUGCAAGGUGGGGGAUAAACAAUGCUAGGGAACCUAUUAGGUCCCAUCAAAUUAACCUGAGCAUGUUACAGUGAUUAACAUGAACAUUAUUAGGUAAAGAAGAGUGAUCAACGACACAACUUGCCUUAGACUCGAGAUUCCCAGGUACCAACUUGGUCUUCAAGUGACUCGUAACCUCGCUGCUACUCGUAGCAAUACAAACAAACAAUGUAUAGGCAAAAUUAACAUCACACCAAACAUAAGAACAAACUGCAUAAUAAUGUUCUACGUAUCGUAACGAGAUCCUAGGUUUGAGAACCACUAAAUUUGGAGUUACGGUUAUAAAGGUAUGACUUUCCUAAUAUUUAAGUGCCCACUAUAAAAUAAAUGAGGUACAGGAUUUUUAACCAUAGGUUUCAUAGUAAUACAAGGUUAGUAGAUGAUAACAAUAUUAAUGUGAGAUUAAUGCAACUGGAAUGGAUCAAAAAGGAGUUAAAAUGAAUCACUUAUGAAUUAAAUAAUUUUCUGGAAUUAUUUUUAUACUAAAAACCAUUUUCUAUAUAAAUAUACUCAUUUUAUUUAACCUUUGGGCUGCGGCCACCAUUUCAGAAGAGUUCAGGGGUCGUUUCAUAAGAAACUAGUGCCAUAUGGUAAAUACUUUACACUCAGAGUGGACGACGGGUUGAUAACUAAAUAAGACAGGGACUCUUUUGCAUUUUGGCGCGGUCAAAGGGGUACGAGGGGUUUUCUGGCCGUUAGAUCGACUGCCCGCGGCAUAGAUUAGAUCGGCCCAUUUAUCAACCGGAAUUCGCUCGCAGACGUAGGAUACUGAGAUCAUCCCUCAACCACCGGAUCAAAAUCGGACGCACCAGAGCGAUCUGGACGAAACGGACGAAACCACAUACCCCGAGAUCUACGGUUCACAUGUCACCACCCUUUGGUUAAAUCUCGACGGCACAUCCACUGAUCAAAGGUGCAGAUCUCAUGGAUCAAACCAUUUACUAGAGAUCUGAUCCUAGCCUUUGACCAGGGGAUCAACGGUCCAGAGAGACCCUCCAGCUCCCGACGCCGGCGGCGAGAGCCCACCAAUUCCCCCCACGGCGGCGCCAUUACAGCACAUGGUCCAAUGCCGCCCUAGCGCUCCACCUCCACCGAAAACCUUAAAUACUUAAUGUGGAAGGUAAAGCGGAUUGGGUCUUGUGGUUAUACCUGAGUGAGGCGGCGACUGAUCCGGUUCACGGUGCUACCCUUCGCCACCAGCGAGCACGCGAGGUCCCUCUACAGUGAUGGUCACGAGGAGAAGCAAGGAGUAGGGAGGGAAGGAUCUGGGGUCGUGGUUUCCUAAAUAGGCGUGGAUUAGGCCUGGGCGCAAUAACAGUCCGUGCGGCAUUGGCGCGACCCCACCAUGCACGGUGCGUUCGUUGAGGGGGAAGGAACUGACCUACCAGACCCACCCGUCAGCGACUGUGAGACUAGAGCGCGGCGCGGUCAGUGAGACAGGCAGGCCGGACCCACCUGUCAUUGAGUGAAGAAACGGUCAGGCGCAGAUUUGCGUGGAGAAUGGGCCGAGGCUGGGAGUUUGGUGGGCCGACUAGUGGAAAACGGCCCAGCCACGUUUUUCUUAAUUUCUUUCCCUUUUCUUUUAUAAUUUCUAUUUGGUUUAUUUUCAAAUUCAAGGAUUCAAGCUAACUUUAAGUUCUUGUUUUGAAAUUCAAACUUUCAAAUAUUAAACAUACUCCUAAUGUGGAUAUAUCUUCUAUUGUUGCAAUAAUAUUAUUUAUUCUUCUUCCAUCAAUUAAUUAUGGAAGGAAGAAUGAUUUUAUUAACAUUUCUUUUCUUCUUUUUUUCUCAUUUUCUGUUUUAUAUUUUCAUUUAUAAUUUGAGUUCAAAUUUAAAGAAUGCCUGCUUUAUUCAAAUAUCAUGCAUCACACAAAGAUAAACAUUAGCAUGAAUGCACUUUUAAUUUGUUCAACUUGGUCUCUUUAUUUACAUAUGCAAAAGAGAAAAGAGGAUAAUUAAUCACAUAGGUUCCAAAAUUCCCAAGGCUUAUGUCUUAAAUAAAAUUUUUAUUUUCUCCAAUUUUUUGGGCUUUACAAUGGUCAGGAGAGAGAAAUUGUCGAUGUUUAUCAAACGAUGAAUAUUUGCCACCCUUCUUCAACCAAAUGAACCUAAGAGCUUCCUUGCAAACUGGGCAUGAGAACUUACCUGAACACACCAGGCAUAGAAUAUCCCAUACGUCAGUAAGUCAUGCAUGCAGUACUGGUACCAAACAUGCAUUUUGAAGUUUGUCUUCGUAGCUCGGUCAUAUAUCCAUACCACUUCCUCCCAAACACGGACCAAUUCAUCAAUCAAAGGCUCCAUGUACAUGCCCAUUUUAUUCCUCGGGUGUCUAGGAAUUAUCAACGACACGACUAUUUUAUGUCUUUGAAAGCAUACGUCGGGGGAGAUUGAUGGGGAUAACAAACGUGGGCCAACAUGUGUAUGGGGCAACGGUUAUUUCAUAGGGAUUGAAUCCAUCUAUGGCCAGCGCUACACGUAUAUUAUGAGCCUCUUCAGCUUUCUCACGGUGAAUGGCAUCAAAGUGUUUCCAUGCUUCACCAUUGGAUGUGUGCGCCAUCUUAUGAGGAUUGUAUCGUUUGCCAUUUUUGUGCCAUGUCAUCUGUUUCGCAGAUUCCUCGGUCAUGUAUAGACGCUGGAUCCUCGGUAUGAACGGAAGGUGGCAUAGGAUUGUUGUCACACCCGGUUUUGGAAGGCAAACCGAAUGCGAACCAUGUACGUGCUAGGAUCAGAAACUCACGUACAUAGCAAUUACAUAAUUGGACAUCAUCACACAUUGCUCAAAGUAAAUAGCGGAAAGGUACUUUUAUUACAUCAAGAUGUCCAAGACAUCCACAGAAUGUAUAACAUAACAUAGUCAUUAACAUUAUCAAAGUGCGGAAUACAAAACAUAGUAGAUAAGGCCUUCACGGCAACUACUGGGGGUUUGCCACUAACAUAACUAAAACUCGUCGUUGUCCUGGAACUCCUCAAAGUCCUCCACGUUGCCUACAUUUCCUCCUAAGCACUGAAUAUAUUGGGGACAACCUAGGGUGGGGAUGGUUUUUAAAGCAAGGGUGAGUACACAUCAACGUACUCAACAAAUGUCCUGUUUGGCUAAAGUGGACUAGAUGUAUGUGGAGUUAAGGUUCAGCAGUUGCUUUUAGUUGGUCAAGUAUUUAUUACUAAUGGUAGAGCCAAAUUUUAGUAAUAAACCCAGUUAUUACCCAAGUGUACUCCCUCCAAGAGGAAAUACCGGAGAUCAUAAUUAUACCAUCAUUAUUAAACAUCAUCAUAAAAGUAUCCAAAGUUCUUCUAAUCAAAGAGGAUCCCAAGGCCGCUCUUAACCGUGAGCUCGGCUGAUAUAUCAGUUUCUAACACUCUGCAGAGGUUGCACACUUUACCUACGAGGCAUGAUUCCCAUCCUGCCCGGAGAUCAUGACUCCCCAUUGAUCACUACCAAGGUGACUUGGCAGGGUCUCACUAUGUAGCCUUUACAAAGACUCCCCUGGUGUGUUGCUGCUCGUUAGGUUUCGCUAGUCGUACAAACACAAUACACCUCCCCAAGGUGGGUGACUAACAAAACUAAAUCGAAUGAACCUCUGCACCCCCUUAGCAGAGCGAGCACUACGCCUCGGCCCCCAUUGACGGUCCUCCGUCAAAGUCAACUACACCCCCAGGUUCAUCUAAUUAUUCAACUAAGGGCAUCCCAUUCCACCCUCAUGGUUGCACUGUUAUCCCGGGUGGUCACUCAACGAACAGGUCCUUACAGAGAGGUACUCAGGAAAAUGGCCUGAGUCCCCUAAAAUAUCACAAGAUCAUCAUCGGGAUAACAUCAUUGUAUCAUAAAUAUUCACAUCAUGUUUGUUGAUUAAGUUAAAACAAUAACAUAAGCUAACCAUGAUAACCCAAAAGGUAAACAAGGAUAAGGUAAAUACAGACUAGUCAAUCCUCAGGUUUCCAUAAAGUAAUGUGGGGCAGUGAAUUAUAAAGUAAGUAGGACAUAAUAGGUCAGAGGACACUCUUCACUGGGUUGUUGCUCAGGAAGAUCUUCGUCAAUACACUCAGGAACCACGGACUGCUCGUCAUCUAAAUAAAGCGAUCAUACAUUCAAUAUAUUCAGAAAAUGACAAAUGGACAACACGCCAAUCAUGUACAAACAAUGGAACACAUCUCAAAAAGAAAAGUAUAAACUCAAAAGGGAGUUUAGGUUAUAGGGUGAACUAAUCACAUUUAGUAGUUUGUUAUUCUCUAAGUGUUAUCUAUCUUUAUGGUUACAUAAUCUGAUUCUACUCAUUUUAAUGACACAUAAAAGUUAAACCAGGCAUAAAUCGAUAUACUACAUCUUAUUAAUCUCACAAGGUUAAAUAUCUGUUUACCACUUGGGUUUCCUAUUUAUUUAUCUUAUUAAACAAAUAAAUUAUCACACAAAUUAACAUAUAGCCUAAGCAUAUAAUUAGAAUGCACUGACAUUGAAUGAUCCUAAUUUAUUGGAACAGAGAAUAAUUCUAUGAACAUUUUGCAAUUUGAAUCGCUCAAUUUGGAGUUCAUAUGAAAAAGAUAUGAAAUAAACAAGCUUUGAAGUUUAAAAUACAAAACUAGGUCUAAUUCUAUGAUUAAACAAAAGCCUCGGGUUCAAUCUGCAAGAUCACAGGGGCCUACGCAAAACUAAGGGACGGUGAGUUCUAUUACCCGAGAAGUGGCGGUUCUUUUUACAAAAUGUAAUACCCACUUUGUAAAAAAAUCAAAAAGGAGAAAUGAUAUUCCUUUAUAUAGAUGUGUGUUAUCAAUAUUUGUUAUUUCAUGUGAACACUACAUUUAAACAAAUAAAUAAAUGACAAAAGACACCCAAAAAUAAUACAUGCAUCAUGCUGGGAUUUUUAUUUUGUGUGCAUUUUGUGACAAUAUAAAAAUAAUGUAAAAAGAAAUAUAUUAAAAAUACAAAUUUGGAGAUUCAACCCUAAUUUGCAAGUUGGAGGUUAGGGAAGAGAAAGAAAAUGUUAUAUAAAAAUAAAGAAAUAUGUAUAUAAAAAAAUUAGGCGAUCCAUAUUAGUAUGUUCAAUCUGUACAUUUAAAAUGAGUACAAGUUUACUACUUUGAGAAAAUUCAAAUUUGAAUUUUGAAUAAAGAGAAAAGAAAAGAAAGAGGAAAUAUGAAAGGAUAAAAAGAAAAUGAGGUUGUGCUUGGAUGGGUUGGCAGACUCGAAUUCGGGCCACUAGGACUUUCUUGGGCGCGGCCCAACCCCUCUACCAUUGCGCACGCACGUCCUCUCCUGCCCACUCUCUGUCUCGUGGGGCCCACAUACCAACCGUCGACUCCGCAUUGAAUCGCUCAAUCUUUCAGUCACUGGCAAGUGGCCUCGGCUGUCACCUCCAUCCCCGUCAACGAACUUCCACGCAUGGCAGAGCGCACGGUCCUCGCGCAAAUCUGUUGCCGCGCCCGACCCACUUCGCAUCCAUUUACGGGGCCACGACCCUCGGGUUCGCCUCACCAUCUUCCUUUCUCCGCCCUCGCAACCACAACCAUAGUAGUGAGAGAAAGUUGUCGUCCGUGUAAGGCAGUCGCCGUCACGCUUGAUUGCCCGCCUAGCUGCUGGUCGGUACUCGGCGUAGCAUUGUGGUGACUCGCCGUGGGGUAGGAAUCGUGCGCGCUCGGUUCGUUGGCCGCGUGUGCAACAGAAUUCCGAGUAAUUCCUCGUCGAAGCACCGAGGACCGUCGUGGAGCUCACGUCUCCGCCGUCAGCUCUCUGCGACGCACCAUUAUCGAUGGGAACCCCCCUCAUUUGAUUCCUGGUUACACGUGCUCGUCGUAGGACUCGCGGAUUGAGGUUUGGGCUCCGAUGUGCGUCGAUUGGGUGUUUCCGGUGGGUGCGCCACUGCGGAACCAUGGCGGAGCCGCCCUGGUACGGCCGUCAGAGGAGGGGUUUUCGGUGGAUUUGGGCUGACCGUUGAUCACGGGCUAAACGACAUGGAUUAGACUCCGAGCGUACCCUUUCGCUAGAUUGUAUCUGAGUUGUCAACCUUAGAUCUAACGGGUCUGGGUGAAUAGGGAGAGUUUUAAAUCCGAGCCGUUGACGCACGAUCAAACGGUACCCGAGCACGCCAGUCCUUAAACAUAGGCGAUCUAAUCGGGACCCUUGGUGUGGGAUCGGACGGCUAGGGUUUCUAGAUACCCGUUCGGCCUGGAUAUUAUACUUAAGAGCCAUCGGAGAAAGUGAAAAACAACACGCCGUCCUAUCUGUGGCGCGCUGAGUCUUGGGGGAUUUUUAUUCCUGCCCCCUGCUGUUUUCUGUAAUAAUGCGCCAGUCCAGGGCGUUGGAAAUCAGAGAAGAAUUAAUUAGAAAAUGAAUUUUUAAUACAAAAACAAAUGCUAGAACUUGUAUAAAUCAUAGAAAAUUCAUAUGAAUUUCGAAUUGAUCUAUUCCAGUUUCUAAAAUUUUGUAAUAUUAUUGUUUAUCACCUAGAGUCUCUGUUUUGACAUAUAACAGUAAGAAAAUUAAUUUCUCACUUAAUCCUAUUUCAAGCACAUAAAACCUUUGGAAAUUCAUAAUUUAAAAUCUAUAACUCCAAAAUUUAUGAUUCCUAUUCCUAGGAUCUUAUUUUAAGGUGUAGAUUUUUAUUGUAUAUUUUGUUUACAUGUUUGGUGUGAUGUUAAUUGUCUCUAUAUAUUGUGCUUGUUUAUAUUGUGGCGAGUAGGAGAGCCUGUGACUGAGGAUUCUGGUGCCCAACAGAUAGAAGUUGCUGAGCAGGAGCUCAUUGAAGGCAAGUUGUGCCCUUGACCACUUUUUACCCAAUAAUGUUCUUUAUAUUCAUGUACCAUGCAUAGGUUUAAUUUUGAUGGGACCCAAUAGGUCACCCUAGUCUGUU
rnacentral:lncRNA from 1 species